AAGUUGUAAGAAGUCCCUUCAAGGUUUAUGUCAUUUGCUAUGUUGUUUCUGUUCCAUUUUCAGUUCAAAGAGUGGUAGAGUAGAGGAGGCAUGGCUCAGACAUUUGGGUGCAGCUCUGGAGAUAGUAGAUGGUCUCUCAAGGGAAUGACUGCUCUUGUAACUGGUGGAACUAAAGGAAUUGGGUUGGUGUUACCUGUUUUUAUGUCUUUGGGUUUGGACUAUACCUUCCUAUAUAUAAACGUAUGUAUCAAUUCUGCAGGCAUGCAAUUGUGGAGGAACUGGCUGGAUUAGGAGCAACCAUACACACGUGUUCUCGAAAAGAAACCGAGCUCAAUGAAUGCUUGAAGGAUUGGAAAGCUAAAGGUUUUGGAGUGAGUGGUUCAGUGUGUGAUGUAUCCUCUCCGGCCCAAAGGGAGAAGCUAAUGGAGACUGUGUCUUCUGUGUUCAAAGGGAAGCUGAAUAUACUUGUAAGUUCCUCUAGUCUCUAAGGUUCCUAUCCAUGAUAUUCCACAUACUUUGUCGAACUUCCUACAAUUUGAGUUCCCUACUUGAUAUAUUUUAUUUAUUUAUUUUUUGGUUCCGGAUUCAGGUCAACAACGCUGCUAUUGUUAUUCAGAAACCAACAGUAGAGGUCACGGCAGAAGAGUUCUCAACAAUCAUGGCCAUAAAUUUUGAAUUAUAUUAAAUUUGAUAUUAUAAAUUCCUAAUUAAAUUUUAAAAUAUAUUAAAUUUAUUUGAUAUAAAUAUAUAUAAAAAUAAAGAAAAAAUUAAUAUUUUCAUAUAAUAAAUUAUAUAAAAUAUAUAUAUAUAUAUAUAUAUAUAUAUAUAUAUAUAUAUAUAUAUAUAUAUAUAUAUAUAUAUAUAUAUAUAUAUAUAUAUAUAUAUAUAUAUAUAUAUAUAUAUAUAUAUAUAUAUAUAUAUAUAUAUAUAUAUAUAUAUAUACAUAUAUAUAUAUAUANNNNNNNNNNNNNNNNNNNNNNNNNNNNNNNNNNNNNNNNNNNNNNNNNNNNNNNNNNNNNNNNNNNNNNNNNNNNNNNNNNNNNNNNNNNNNNNNNNNNAUUUUUUGGUGCCGGAGACACGUCUACAACGCUGCUAUUGUUAUUCAGAGACCCACAGUAGAGGUCACGGCAGAAGAGAUCUCUACACUCAUGGCCAUAAAUUUUGAAUUAUAUAAAAUAUGAUAUAAUAAAUUCAUAUAUAAAUAUUAAAAUAUAUAAAAUUUAUUUGAUAUAUAUAUAUAUAUAUAUAUAGAAAAAAAUAUAAUUUUCUUAUAAUAUAUAUAUAUAUAUAUAUAUAUAUAUAUAUAUAUAUAUAUAUAUAUAUAUAUAUAUAUAUAUAUAUAUAUAUAUAUAUAUAUAUAUAUAUAUAUAUAUAUAUAUUUUUAUCAAAAUUGUUUUCAACAAUAUUUCAAAUAUAUAUAUAUAAAUUUAGGAAACUUGUGUUUUGCAGUUGCUAUUUAAGAAUUAUAUGGUUUUCGGAACCCUACAAUGGGAAAUAUGAGAACCAGUUUUUAACAUGAAAAGUGUUAUCGUUUUUGUGCACUCUGAAUCGGCUCCAUCUUCUAUGCCCAAAUUGUCCCUUCAUGUCUCCAGCUCACCAUCCCCAACAUCAUCCCAGCCUCUAUGUCAGUACGUAGGACCACUAAAAUCUAAAUUUAGAACUUCUACAAAAAAAAAAAAAAAAAAAAACACCUCAUAUGCAAGUUUUCAAUUUGCUCAUUUGGAAGCUUUCUUUCAUCUUUCUUUGCUCCCGACAACCCAAAAUUACUCUCAUUUUAGUUCAGAAACCCAAAUCCAAAACCCCAAAUGUGAUACAUUGUGGAAUUGAUUUCAUGGUCCUUAUCAAGAUGAAUGCAGCAUGUACUAAACUUUAACCUAAUUCCUUUUGCCAAUUUUUCUGCCCCUAAGUUACUAGGGACUAUGGUUCCAGUUGGGUGGAUUUUGAGUAGUCAAAAACCAUUUUUAAAGCUCAAUAAAAAUUUUUAUGCUGGUCUGUGGACCUCGUAUUUCUGUCCAUGAGCUUUCACUCGAUGGUGAACUCGUUUUUUAUUGGAAAAAAUAUUUAUUUUUUUUUAGAAAAUGACUUGGAGUCGUCACUUAUUUUAAAGGGAAAACAAAAUAAGAAAAAAAAAAAACUCUAAGUGUAACUCCUUAUUUGGAAAAGAUGGUUUGCGAAAAAAAAAAAACACCAAAUCUGGGCUUAAGGGUCAGGGAUUAGGUUACUUAUUGGAAAGGUACGAUAAAGACCGUAACACCCCUCUAAGCCCUUAAAAUGAGUCUCUACUAAAUAUGAUGAAGUAGACGUGACAAUUAACUAAUAGGUUAAAAGAUACCUAAAUGAUAUUACACGAAAAACCAAACAUGCAGACGUGACAAUUAUUUUAUUUUAUUUUAUAAGACUAGAUUUUGAAACCGUUCAAAUUUUACCGUGUGUUAUUUUUAAAAUUGUAUGUCACAUGUUCAAUGUGUAGAAUUCAUGACUUAUGAAAUCCAAAUUUUAUUGAACUACAGAGUUAUAACUUUAGUGACAAAUUUUAUAGUAAUUUAAUCCUUCAUUUAUUUUUAAGCCCACAUAGCUCAACAAGUUGAAUAUAUUUUUAUCGUGUUAAUGGGUUAUCAAUCUUGAUUUAAUUUAAUUUAUCAAAUAGGUUAAAUGAAUGAUUCCUAAUUUGCCACCACAAUAACAAGAGACAACAGACAGAAGGGAAGGGAAACUAAAAUACGUAAUGUGACUUUUCCUUUCAUGUUGCUUACUAUACUUGGUGUCUCUUAAUUUGUUUUUAUUCUAAGAUGUUAAUAAUAUGAUUUGAUUGAUUUAUACCCCAUAUUUGUCAUUUGAGGGAUUGAAAAUAUUGCAAAUUCAUAAUUAAAUUUAAAAGAUAUAUAUAUAUAUAUAUAUAUAUAUAUAUAUAUAUAUAUAUAUAUAAUCAUAUGUGUAUAAAAUAAUAAUUAGUAUAUUAUUAUCAUUUUUAUGUUAGAAAUUAAUAAGAAAAGAUAUUUUUUAUUUUUCAAUAAGUUAUACAGACUUAUANNNNNNNNNNNNNNNNNNNNNNNNNNNNNNNNNNNNNNNNNNNNNNNNNNNNNNNNNNNNNNNNNNNNNNNNNNNNNNNNNNNNNNNNNNNNNNNNNNNNACUACAGAGGGAUAUCUUUUGUGAGAAAUUUUAUAGAAAUAUAUUCCUUCUUUUUUUUUUAUGCGCACAUAGCUCACCAAGUGGUAUAUAUUUUUAUCGUGUGAAUGGGUGAUCUCUCUCGAUUUUUUUUAUUUUAUCAAAUAGGUGAAAAGAGAGAGUCUUAUUUUGCCCCCCCACUAUCAAGAGACAACAGACAGAGGGGGAGAGAGACUAAAAUAUGUAAUGUGACUUUUUCUUUCAUGUUGCUCUCUAUAUUUGGUGUCUCUUUAUUUGUUUUUUUUCUAAGAUGUUUAUAAUAUGUUUUGAGUGAUUUAUACCCCAUAUUUGUCAUUUGAGGGAGUGCACAUAUAUCAAAUACAUAAAUAAAUAUAAAAGAUAUAUAUAUAUAUAUAUAUAUAUAUAUAUAUAUAUAUAUAUAUAUAUAUAUAUAUAUAUAAUCAUCUGUGUAUAAAAUAAUAAUUAGUAUAUUUUUAUCAUUUUUAUGUUAGAAAUUAAUAAGAAAAUAUAUUUUUUAUUUUUCAAUAAUUUAUACAGACUUAUAAUAAAAAUUGUAUGCUAGAUAAAAUUAUAUUUUAUAAUUUGUAAUAAUUUAAUUAUAUCAAUUUAAUAUUUGAUAUUCGUCAUAAAUUGAACUACAGAGUUAUAACAUUAGUGACAAAUUUUAUAGUAAUUUAAUCCUUCAUUUAUUUUUAAGCCCACAUAGCUCAACAAAUUGAAUAUAUUUUUAUCGUGUUAAUGGGUUAUCAAUCUUGAUUUAAUUUAAUUUAUCAAAUAGGUUAAAUGAAUGAUUCCUAAUUUGCCACCACAAUUAACAAGAGACAACAGACAAAAGGGAAGGGAAACUAAAAUACGUAAUGUGACUUUUCCUUUCAUGUUGCUUACUAUACUUGGUGUCUCUUAAUUUGUUUUUAUUCUAAGAUGUUAAUAAUAUGAUUUGAUUGAUUUAUACCCCAUAUUUGUCAUUUGAGGGAUUGAAAAUAUUGCAAAUUCAUAAUUAAAUUUAAAAGAUAUAUAUAUAUAUAUAUAUAUAUAUAAUCAUCUGUGUAUAAAAUAAUAAUUAGUAUAUUUUUAUCAUUUUUAUGUUAGAAGUUAAUAAGAAAAUAUAUUUUUUAUUUUUCAAUAAUUUAUACAGAAUUAUAAUAAAAAUUGUAUGCUAGAUAAAAUUAUAUUUUAUAAUUUGUAAUAAUUUAAUUAUAUCAAUUUAAUAUUUGAUAUUCGUCAUAAAUUGAACUACAGAGUUAUAACUUUAGUGACAAAUUUUAUAGUAAUUUAAUCCUUCAUUUAAUUUUAAGCCCACAUAGCUCAACAAGUUGAAUAUAUUUUUAUCGUGUUAAUGGGUUAUCAAUCUUGAUUUAAUUUAAUUUAUCAAAUAGGUUAAAUGAAUGAUUCCUAAUUUGCCACCACAAUAACAAGAGACAACAGACAGAAGGGAAGAGAAACUAAAAUACGUAAUGUGACUUUUCCUUUCAUGUUGCUUACUAUACUUGGUGUCUCUUAAUUUGUUUUUAUUCUAAGAUGUUAAUAAUAUGAUUUGAUUGAUUUAUACCCCAUAUUUGUCAUUUGAGGGAUUGCAAAUAUUGCAAAUUCAUAAUUAAAUUUAAAAGAUAUAUAUAUAUAUAUAUAUAUAUAUAUAUAUAUAUAUAUAUAUAUAUAUAUAUAUAUAUAAUCAUCUGUGUAUAAAAUAAUAAUUAGUAUAUUUUUAUCAUUUUUAUGUUAGAAGUUAAUAAGAAAAUAUAUUUUUUAUUUUUCAAUAAUUUAUAUAGAAUUAUAAUAAAAAUUGUAUGCUAGAUAAAAAUAUAUUUUAUAAUUUGUAAUAAUUUAAUUAUAUCAAUUUAAUAUUUUGAUAUUCGUCAUAAAUUGAACUACAGAGUUAUAACUUUAGUGACAAAUUUUAUAGUNNNNNNNNNNNNNNNNNNNNNNNNNNNNNNNNNNNNNNNNNNNNNNNNNNNNNNNNNNNNNNNNNNNNNNNNNNNNNNNNNNNNNNNNNNNNNNNNNNNNAUUUUUAAGCCCACAUAGCUCAACAAGUUGAAUAUAUUUUUAUCGUGUUAAUGGGUUAUCAAUCUUGAUUUAAUUUAAUUUAUCAAAUAGGUUAAAUGAAUGAUUCCUAAUUUGCCACCACAAUAACAAGAGACAACAGACAGAAGGGAAGGGAAACUAAAAUACGUAAUGUGACUUUUCCUUUCAUGUUGCUUACUAUACUUGGUGUCUCUUAAUUUGUUUUUAUUCUAAGAUGUUAAUAAUAUGAUUUGAUUGAUUUAUACCCCAUAUUUGUCAUUUGAUGGAUUGAAAAUAUUGCAAAUUCAUAAUUAAAUUUAAAAGAUAUAUAUAUAUAUAUAUAUAUAUAUAUAUAAUCAUCUGUGUAUAAAAUAAUAAUUAAUAUAUUUUUAUCAUUUUUAUGUUAGAAGUUAAUAAGAAAAUAUAUUUUUUAUUUUUCAAUAAUUUAUAUAGAAUUAUAAUAAAAAUUGUAUGCUAGAUAAAAUUAUAUUUUAUAAUUUGUAAUAAUUUAAUUAUAUCAAUUUAAUAUUUUGAUAUUCGUCAUAAAUUGAACUACAGAGUUAUAACUUUAGUGACAAAUUUUAUAGUAAUUUAAUCCUUCAUUUAUUUUUAAGCCCACAUAGCUCAACAAGUUGAAUAUAUUUUUAUCGUGUUAAUGGGUUAUCAAUCUUGAUUUAAUUUAAUUUAUCAAAUAGGUUAAAUGAAUGAUUCCUAAUUUGCCACCACAAUAACAAGAGACAACAGACAGAAGGGAAGGGAAACUAAAAUACGUAAUGUGACUUUUCCUUUCAUGUUGCUUACUACUUGGUGUCUCUUAAUUUGUUUUUAUUCUAAGAUGUUAAUAAUAUGAUUUGAUUGAUUUAUACCCAUAUUUGUCAUUUGAGGAAUUGAAAAUAUUGCAAAUUCAUAAUUAAAUUUAAAAGAUAUAUAUAUAUAUAUAUAUAUAUAUAUAUAUAUCAUCUGUGUAUAAAAUAAUAAUUAGUAUAUUUUUAUCAUUUUUAUGUUAGAAGUUAAUAAGAAAAUAUAUAUUUUAUUUUUCAAUAAUUUAUACAGAAUUAUAAUAAAAAUUGUAUGCUAGAUAAAAUUAUAUUUUAUAAUUUGUAAUAAUUUAAUUAUAUCAAUUUAAUAUUUUGAUAUUCGUCAUAAAUUAUAUAGAAAUAUUGGAGUGCAAAUACUAAACUACAUAAUAACAACAGGACACCUUAUUCAUCCAAAAUUUCAAAUUUCAAAUAAAAAAUAUUAAAAAAAUAAUUUUUAAAUUUAUUAAAUAUUUAUUUUUGUAAAAAAGUAAUUAAUAAAAAUUAUAAAAUUUUAAAUAUUAUUAAUGAGAUUAUUAUGUGGGUAUUUAUUACUAAUAUUUAAUAUUAAAAAAAUAAAAUAACAAUAUGAUAUUAAGAUUAUAUUUUUAUAAAUAUAGCAAAAUGAGAUUAUUCUAAAUUCAGUGAUGAUAACAUUAUAGUAAAAAUAAGGAGUGAUAUAAUUAUAAAUAUUUCACUAAGCGCAUAAAAAAUAAAAAAAAUAUGGUAAAUAUAGCGAGUAAUAUUGUUACUAUAAAUAUCUGGUGACACGAGGACAGAUAUAUGAGUAAAGAAAAACCUCGGUAUUCUACAUAUAGAGAUUCAGAUACCAUUGCCUAUGUCAUGAAAUCAGAGUCCACAAGAAGACAACAUAAAAUGCUAUCGAUCCAUCGCUGUUUCUCGCUUCUGUUAUAAAUUAUGGAUACAAACAUAGAUGAAGAUGAGAAGUAGAAGGAGAAGAAACAUUUAGCUUUCAAGGAGUCGUAGAGGAGAGGAGGAGACAUGGCUCAGACAUGUGGGUUCAGCUCUGGAGAUAGUAGAUGGUCUCUCAAGGGAAUGACUGCUCUUGUAACCGGUGGAACUAAAGGAAUUGGGUUGGUGUUACCUGUUUUUAUGUCUUUGGGUUUGGACUAUACCUCCCUAUAUAUAAACGUAUGUAUCAAUUCUGCAGGCAUGCAAUUGUGGAGGAACUGGCUGGAUUAGUAGCAACCAUACACACGUGUUCUCGAAAAGAAACCGAGCUCGAUGAAUGCUUAAAGGAUUGGAAAGCUAAAGGUUUUGGAGUGAGUGGUUCAGUGUGUGAUGUAUCCUCUCGGGCCCAAAGGGAGAAGCUAAUGGAGACUGUGUCUUCUGUGUUCAAUGGGAAGCUGAAUAUCCUUGUAAGUUCCUCUAGUCUCUAAGGUUCCUAUCCAUGAUAUUAAUUCCACAUACUUCGUCGAACUUCCUACAAUUUGAGUUCCCCUACUUGAUAUAUUUUAUUUAUUUAUUUUUUGGUUCCGGAUUCAGGUCAACAACGCUGCUAUUGUUAUUCAGAAACCAACAGUAGAGGUCACGGCAGAAGAGUUCUCAACAAUCAUGGCCAUAAAUUUUGAAUCUGUGUAUCAUCUGUCCCAACUCGCACACCCCCUUUUAAAGGCAUCAGGAGCGGGAAGCAUUGUGUUCAUCUCCUCUGUUGCAGGCGUAGUGUCACUCAAGUAUCUGUCUGCUUAUUCAGCGACCAAAGGUAUUUCAUUACAUGAUCCACAUUAUAUAUAUAUAUAUUGCAAGUUCUUGGGUUGUGGCCCUUGUGGCCUUCUCGGCGUGUCAUUAUCAUUAUCAUUUUGUGAUUUUUCAGGAGCAAUGAAUCAACUUACAAAGAAUUUGGCAUGCGAGUGGGCGGAAGAUAAUAUUAGAAGUAAUGCAGUUGCUCCUUGGUACAUCAAAACUCCGAUGGUGGAUCAGGUAAUUCAGUUGCUCUUCUGUUUUGUCUGGGAAAAUUCAAUAAUCAAUUCCUCUCUCUUUUCUGUCUUUUGCAUAAUCUGGGUUGCAGAUGCUCAGCAACAAAACCUUUCUGGAAGGGGUGAUAAAUCGAGCUCCACUUCGCCGUGUGGGAGAUCCGAAGGAGGUGUCAUCUUUGGUGGCAUUCCUCUGUCUACCAGCAUCAUCUUACAUUACUGGACAGACUAUUUGUGUCGAUGGUGGCGUGACUGUUAAUGGUUUUGAGCCAAACCUGUUAUAGGAACAUCAUUAAGACUCAAAAAUCUUAGCUUCCUCUACCGCUUUCCUGUUUGGAUCCUGUCUUUUUCCUGAAUAAUCUGUUUGUGAUGGUAAGUACUCUUCUGUUUUUUCGGUGUGGGGUUCAUCUGAAAACAUUGUUGCAUGAUGCUUAUAAUAAUCGUUGGAAAGUUUGUAAGAAGUUACUUAUCAUUGGAUGAGAUUCUUGUGAUGAGUGUUUCCUAUAAUCAGAUUUAUCUUGUUAUAAGGUUGUUGUUGUAGUAGUAACUGCAAUUCAAAGGAAAUUAAUUUAGUAUAAUACUGUAGGUUGUUGUCUAGUGUCUACUACCUCAGCUUCUCAUCCCACCCAACUCUCCCUCUUUAACUACCUAAUAUGAAAUUAAAAUAUGAAUUUAACAACCUGUCCGUCUUGUCCACCGUUUCUUUGGCUCUUCAGUCUUCAGACUUCGGCCUUUUAAAGCAGGACCUAAAAGGUUUGGGCCCAAAUGUUGGAAAAACUUAACACAGGCUGCAAUUUUGGGCCCCAAAACUCUUUCCAACUGGGCCUGAACACUUUUAGGCCCAAGAUGCUUUAGAUUUUGGACUCGCAGACCAUGUAUAUGCCCUCAACACCACCAUGCUUUACUUCAUCCCUUCCUUUCAAAUUAAAAGGAAAUUCAAAUUUCAUGAUGUUACAACUUGCUCAUUGAUGUACAUUCCCAUUCACAAAAAAUAAAAUAUUAAAUGCACUUAUCCAAAAUAUCUUCAUACCUACCUAUUUUUAUUUUUAAAAUAAAAUUUAAACGUUGAAUAACAAAAAUACCAUUUUUGUCAUCCUUACCCUUCACCCUUCCGAAACCCUAAUCUAAUCUUCCCUUUCUCUCUUCUUUCAUUUUCCAUCUUCUUAAAUGGGAAAAUAACGAUCAUCAGAGCCCACCGUGACUUGUGACAGGUUCGAUCCCUUAACAAUGACGAGGCCAUUAUGGAUAAUAUAAGGAUAAGCAUUACAAUAUUUCACUCCUUCACGUGCAUCUCCCUUCACACAAAGAUGCUUCCUUCACUCAUUUUAUAUUAAUAAUAUGAUAAAUUAUACAAAAAAAAAACAAUUUUUUUUUUAUCAAAAUUGUUUUCAACAAUAUUUCAAAUAUAUAUAUAUAUAUAUAUAUAUAUAUAAAUUUGGAAAACUUGUAUUUUGGAGCUGCUAUUUAGAAAUUAUAUAGUUUUCGGAACCCAAAAAUGAGAAAUAUGAUAAUCAAAUUUUAAUAUGAAAAGUAUUAUCGUUUUUGUGCACUUUGAGUAGACUUCAUCUUUUGUGCCCAAAUGGCCCCUCCAUGUCUCCAGCUCAGCAUUCUUAGCAUCAUCCCAACCUUUGUGUCAGUAGAACCAUUGAAAUUAAGAAAAAAAAAAACACAAAAAUCUAAAUUUGUAACUUCUCAAAAAAAAAAAAAAAAAAACCCAAUCUGCAAGUUUUCAAUUUGCUCAUUUGGAAAACAUUUUUUUUUAUAAAUAUCAAUAUUAUUUUUAAAAAAUGGUGACUUUUAGCUUUUAAUUAAAACUAAGAACAAGAAGUUAUUCCAAAUAUGACUUAUGUAUUUAUUCAGUGAAAGUAAUUUUUUCAUUUAAAAAAAGUAAUUUCUUGGUGAUAAAAAGAAAUAUUUUUUUAGUAGCUUUUCGAUGCUAUAAAAAAAGUGUUGGCUAAGUUUGUAUGAUAAAAUUGGUGUUAUUUAUAUACCAGCACUUUCGCUAGGGUCUUAUUUAUUGGGAAAACUGAUUAAUAAACUAAUCUUCUGUUUUGUUUUCAGUUCAAAGAGUGGUAGAGUAGAGGAGGAGGCAUGGCUCAGACAUUUGGGUGCAGCUCUGGAGAUAGUAGAUGGUCUCUCAAGGGAAUGACUGCUCUUGUAACUGGUGGAACUAAAGGAAUUGGGUUGGUGUUACCUGUUUUUAUGUCUUUGGGUUUGGACUAUACCUUCCUAUAUAUAAACGUAUGUAUCAAUUCUGCAGGCAUGCAAUUGUGGAGGAACUGGCUGGAUUAGGAGCAACCAUACACACGUGUUCUCGAAAAGAAACCGAGCUCAAUGAAUGCUUGAAGGAUUGGAAAGCUAAAGGUUUUGGAGUGAGUGGUUCAGUGUGUGAUGUAUCCUCUCGGGCCCAAAGGGAGAAGCUAAUGGAGACUGUCUCUUCUGUGUUCAAAGGGAAGCUGAAUAUCCUUGUAAGUUCCUCUAGUCUCUAAGGUUCCGAUCCAUGAUAUUCCACAUACUUUGUCGAACUUCCAACAAUUUGAGUUCCCCUACUUGAUAUAUAUAUUUUGGUUCCGGAUUCAGGUCAACAACGCUGCUAUUGUUAUUCAGAAACCAACAGUAGAGGUCACGGCAGAAGAGUUCUCAACAAUCAUGGCCAUAAAUUUUGAAUCUGUGUAUCAUCUGUCCCAACUCGCACACCCCCUUUUAAAGGCAUCAGGAGCGGGAAGCAUUGUAUUCAUCUCCUCUGUUGCCGGCGUAGUGUCAAUCAAGUAUCUGUCUGCUUAUUCAGUAACCAAAGGUAUUUCAUUACAUGAUCCACAUUAUAUAUAUAUAUAUAUAUUGCAAGUUCUUGGGUUGUGGCCCUUGUGGCCUUCUCGGCGUGUCAUUAUCAUUAUCAUAUUGUGAUUUUUCAGGAGCAAUGAAUCAGCUUACAAAGAAUUUGGCAUGCGAGUGGGCGGAAGACAAUAUUAGAAGUAAUGCAGUUGCUCCUUGGUACAUCAAAACUCCGAUGGUGGAUCAGGUAAUUCAGUUGCUCUUCUGUUUUGUCUGGGAAAAUUCAAUAAUCAAUUCCUCUCUCUUUUCUGUCUUUUGCAUAAUCUGGGUUGCAGAUGUUCAGUAACAAAACCUUUCUGGAAGAGGUGAUAAAUCGAGCUCCACUUCGCCGUGUGGGAGAUCCGAAGGAGGUGUCAUCUUUGGUGGCAUUCCUCUGUCUACCAGCAUCGUCUUACAUUACUGGACAGACUAUUUGUGUCGAUGGUGGCGUGACUGUUAAUGGUUUUGAGCCAAACCUGUUCUAGGAACAUCAUUAAGACUCUCAAAAAUCUUAGCUUCCUCUACCGCUUUCCUGUUUGGAUCCUGUCUUUUUCCUGAAUAAUCUGUUUGUGGUGGUAAGUACUCUUCUGUUUUUUCGGUGUGGGGUUCAUUUGAAAACAUUGUUGCAUGAUGCUUAUAAUAAUCGUUGGAAAGUUUGUAAGAAGUUACUUAUCAUUGGAUGAGAUUCUUGUGAUGGGUGUUUCCUAUAAUCAGAUUUAUCUUGUUAUUGUAGUAAUAGGAUUGAAAGAAAAAUGCAAAUAAUCAUAAAAGGAUGAUGAAAAUCGGGAAGAGUUCAUCAUUUUUACUUAUUCAAAUAUUACACCAUCUCUUAUUUACAAUAAAUUUCAAAGAGUGUAAGUGAAACCAACCUUAAAUUAAUUUUGUUUGAUAAAUUUAGAUGAAAUUCAACAAGUGUGAAUCUUUAAUUUUUUUUCAUUUCAAUUAAUUUGGUAUCUAUUAUGAGGUUGCCCAUCAAGCUAAAAAUGACCAAAUAUGAUAUAAGCAUGAAGUCUUUGUUAUAUCUCGGAGAUUAAGAAUUGAUUCCAAUACUUUAUAACUUCCUCUUUUUACUUUAUAUAUCCAUGAAUUUAAGAUAGGUCCCUCACAUGUUUAGCUUCUCCCCUUGACGUACGUAGUGUCAUAUGGACAAUAAUUAAUGCUUGUUCAGCUAAGGUCAAAUAUAUGAAAACAAAUAAGAUUCAUUCACGUAAAACAUACAUGUAGCAAAGAGACGAAGGAAAGUGGGUUCUGUGAUCUAUCACACAUCAUGGAAAAAGCUGUGGUACCAUGGCUUUUCCAGGACUUUUCCUUGCAUAAUGGUACUGACAACAGUAUGCUAUUCUGUUGUUACUCUUAAGAUAUUUUAAUAUAAAGUAGCGCGUAUGUACUAUAUACAAUUCAGUGACGCCAUCUAACACGUUAGCCAAUAAGGUUACAAAUUUUAAUUUUAUAUUAAUAAUAUGAUUUGGGUAUGCUCCAUAUUUUAAAAUAUAAUUGAAUCAUAAAUAUCUAGAACUAGAAAUCCUUUUGAGGGACCAAUAACAUAAAUCAUUAAAAUUUUAUAAUUUGAUAUUAUAAAUUCCUAAUUAAAUUUUAAAAUAUAUUAAAUUUAUUUGAUAUAAAUAUAUAUAAAAAUAAAGAAAAAAAUUAAUAUUUUCAUAUGAUAAAUUAUACAAAAAAAAACAAAUAUAUUUUUUUUUAUCAAAGUUGUUUUCAACAAUAUUUCAAAAAUAUAUAUAUAAAUUUGGGAAACUUGUAUUUUGGAGCUGCUAUUUAGAAAUGAUAUGGUUUUCAGAACCCAAAAAUGGGAAAUAUGAUAAUCAAUUUUUAAUAUGAAAAGUAUUAUCGUUUUUGUGCAUUCUGAGUCGGCUUCAUCUUUUGUGCCCAAAUUGCCCCUCCAUGUCUCCAGCUCAGCAUUCUCAACAUCAUCCCAACCUCCAUGUCAGUAGGACCAUUGAAAUUAAGAAAAAAAAAAACACUAAAAUCUAAAUUUGUAACUUCUCAAAAAAAAAAAAACCCAAUAUGCAAGUUUUCAAUUUGCUCAUUUGGAAGCUUUUUCUCAUCUUUUUCUCUCAUUUUAGUUUAGAAACUCAAAUCCAAAACUCUAAAUGUGAUAUGUUGUGGAAUUGUUUUCAUAGUCCUUAACAAGAUGCAUGCGGCAUGUACUGAACUUUAACCUAAUUCCUUCUACCAAUUUUUCUGGCCCCAAGUUACUAGGGACUAUGGCUCCGAUUGGGUGGUUUUUGAGUAGUCAAAAACCAUUUUUAAAGCUUAGUAAAAAAUUUUAUGCCCCUCAUUUUAUUUAAACAAUUUAUAACUUAAAAAAAUAAGAAAAUAAAAAAAAAUGUUUUUUUAAGCUUUAUUUUGACUUAUUCAAAAAGUUUUUUUAUUUUUUUUAUUUUUAUGUUUAAUACAUUUUUUAUAAUUUCAAUAUUAUUUUUAAAAAAUAGUGACUUUUAGCUUUUAAUUAAAACUAAGAACAAGAAGUUAUUCCAAAUAUGACUUAUGUAUUCAUUCAAUGAAAGUAACUUUUUCAUUUAAAAAAAGUAAUUUCUUGGUGAUAAAAAGAAAUAUUUUUUUAGUAGCUUUUUGAUGCUAUAAAAAAAGUGUUGGCUAAGUUUGUAUGAUAAAAUUGGUGUUAUUUAUAUACCUGCACUUUUGCUAGGGUCUUAUUUAUAGGGAAACUUGUGUUUAAUAUGCUCAAUUCUAUUUCUUUGUAUGGCUAUGCAAUUGUUCAGAUUUGGCAACACUAAUCAAUAAAUGUACGUUAUAUUUGAAACAUUGGAAUAAAAAAAAGAAUAAGAGUUAAUUUUAUUUUCAAUUUAUUACUAUAUUUGAAUUAUUUUUUACAAUGAUAAUAGAAUUAAAAAGAAAAUCACUUAGUAACCCUUAGGUACUACCUUAAUAUACCUUAAAUAACCUUAAUCGAUCUUAGAUAUUAUCUUAGUUACACUUGGGUACUACCUAUGUGAAGCCUCAAAACUUCAUUUGUAGACAUUACUUCAUGUGUGAACAUUAGAGAUGACAUUAUGUGCACCUUUAAUAAGUGUUACUAAGGUAGUACCUAAGGUACAAUCAACACUAUAUCAAAGGUGCACAUAAUGUCAUGCUCUAAUGUUCACAAAUAAAGUAAGUAAUGUUUACAAAUGAAGUUUCCAGGCUUCACACAGGUAGUAUCCAAGUCUAAUUAAGUAGUACCUAAGGUCGGUAAGGUAGAUUAAGGUAAUACCUAAGGGUUACUAAGGUAGUACCUAAGGUACAAUCACCACUAUAUCAAAGGGGCACAUAAUGUCAUGCUCUAAUGUUCACAAAUAAAGUAAGUAAUGUCCAUAAAUAAAGUUUCGAGGCUUCACACAGGUGGUACCCAAGUUUAACUGAGAUAAUACCUACAAUUAGUUAAAAUUAGUACCUACAAUCAGUUAAGAUAGUACUUAAGAUAAAUUAAUGUAGUACCUAAAGGUUACUAAGGUAGUACCUAAAGGUUACUAAGGUAGUACCUAAGGUACAGUAAAUACUAAAGAACAAUAAAUAAAAAUUAAUUACCUUCGUAUUUCGAGUAGGGGUUAGGGAAAAAUGUGACAGAAUGACAGGAAGACGAGACAUUUUUUUUUAGGAAACCAAUAUUUUGGAUUUCACCUUUUCGUCCAAGUACGCUUUGCUAUAGAAAAAUCAAUAUCAUAGUUGCGCCUAUUGAAACCAUCUUUUAACUGGACGUUCUUAGGAUGGAGUGCUCCAUUUGGUUGUUGAGAAUUUAGACAAGAAAGAAAAAUGCAGGUUGGAGUUUUGGAUUAAGGGUUUCUUUUCUCAAAUUGAAGAAAUUUUAGGAAAUUUUAAAUGGGUUUUAGGAUCGUCUGGGUGAUAAAGCCAAGAGAAAUAGAGAAAGAAAUGUUUCCAACCUUUAAGAGGAAAAAGUUUCAGAUUUGGGAAAUUUGAGAUGGUUCCCGGGUCAAGUGUUUUUUUGUGUUUUAGAUUUGAGAAGUUUCAAAUUCUUGGAGAAGAUAUAAAUAUGUAGAUUUGAAUUUUAAGGGUUUCUUUUUUGAAAUGAGAGAAAUUUUGGAAAAUUUUAUAGGUGUCUUUCUAAUUCGGCUAGGUAAGGAAGUGAAGAGAGUUGAGAGAAAAUGUUCCCAAAUGAGAGAGAUGGAAAGUUUUUGAUUUGGGAAAUUAGAGGUGUUGUCAGGAUGGGUGUUUAUGAGAACUUUCAAAUUCUAAUUUUUGUGUUUUGUUUAAUUUCAGAAGGUCUUGUUGACAUGAAAAGCUGACUUACUGCUGACAUGGAGACAUUGAGGGACAAUCUGGGAAUAGAAAAUGUAAACAUGACAUAGUGCAUGAGAACGAUAAUAUUUUCUCCAAUAACAGGGAAAUAUCAUAUUUCAUAUACUUGGGGUUCGAAAAGCAUAUAAUUUUCAAAUCACAGACUGAAAACACAAGUUUCCCAUAAAUAUACUUAAAGCAUGUUUGAUAACAAUUUUGAAAAAUAAUUUUCGAAAAUAGUUAUUUAAAAUUGUUUUUUGAUGUUUACAACAUAAAAAAAAAAAAAAAACAUGUUUGACAACCUAAAAUAAUUUUUAUAUCUAAUAUUUUAUUUUUAAUAAUUCGAUAUAUUUGUAUAAUUAUUUUUAAAAAUAGCUGUAAAAAAUAAGUGAAAACAAGUAAAGAUGUUAUCCGAAAACAUUAUAUUUUUUAUUUUUAAAAACAAAAAAUAGUUUUUCUUAUUCUCAAACAAGUUUUCCUGUUUUUUACGAAGAAAAAAUUAUUGUCAAACAAUCCCUUAUAUACUUGUGUUUUAUCAAGUGGUGAAAUAUCUUUGUAUGAAUUAUAUAGCAACUCAUAAGAGUAAGAGAAAAAGAGACAAUUUUAAAAGUGCAUAUGACAAGUGGAAAUUAUUAGAAAAGAGGCAAUUUUAAGAAUGGAUUUGAUAUGUGUCACAAAGACCACUAAAAUUUGGUGUGAAUAUAUAAAUAAGUUUUAAAUUUUGUUGAUUAACAUAUCUAUAAAUUUUUUUAUUUAUAAAAUUUAAUUUUUAGAGAAAUUUUAGAUAAAAAGAUUUUAGAUCUAUUCAAUCAAAAAUUGAAAGAGUAACUUAAUGUAUUUACUCUAAGCCUCAUGGUGUGUGAAUUAAACCAACCUUCAAAGAAAAAUAGAAAAAAAAAAAAGUGAAUCAUAAUAAAAAGGAAAGUAGUCAAAAUCAAAAGGAGAAUCAAAUUUGAUUUCCAUAUUAGUGAUUUUUUAAAAAAAAUUCUAUUAUCAUUGUAAAAAAUAAUUCAAAUACAUUAAUAAAUUGAAAAUAAACUUAACUCUUAUUCUCAUUUCUUAUUCCAAUGUUUCAAAUAUAACGUCCAUUUAUUGAUUAGUGUUGCCAAAUCCGAACAAUUGCAUAGCAAUACAAAGAAAUGGAAUUGAGCAUAUAAAACACUUUUUUUUUAUAGUAUCAAAAAGCUACUGAAAAAAAUAUUUCUUAUCUCCAAGAAAUUACUUUUUUAAAAUGAAAAAAUUACUUUCAUUGAAUGAAUACAUAAGCCGUAUUUGGAAUAACUUCUUAUUCUUAAUUUUAAUUAAAAGCAAAAAGUCACAAUUUUUUAAAAAUAAUAUUGAUAUUAUAAAAAAUGUAUUAAACAUAAAAAAACCUUUUUGAAUAAAUCAAAAUAAAGCUUUAAAAAAAACAUUUUCUUGAUUUUCAUAUUAAGUUAUUUUUUAAGUUAUAAAUUAUUUAAAUAAAAUGAGCAGCAUAAAAAAUCUUAUAGAGCUUUAAAAAUGGUUUUUGACUACUCAAAUCCACCCAAUCGGAACCAUCAUCCCGGUAACUUGGGGCCAGAAAAAUUGGCAAAAGGAAUGAGGUUAAAGUUCAGUACGUGUUGCAUGCAUCUUAUUAAAGACCAUAAAAGCAAUUCCAUAAUAUAUCACAUUUGGAGUUUUGGAUUUGGGUUUUUAAACUAAAAUGAGAGAAAUUUUGGGUUGUCGAAAGCGAAGAAAGAUGAGAGAAAACUUUCAAAUAAGUAAAUUGAAAACUUACAGAUUGUGUGUGUGUGUUUUUUUUUUUUUUUUUUAAAAAAAGUUAUAGAUUAAGAUUUUAAUAUUUUUUUUUUCUUAAUUUCAGUGGUUUGAUUGAUAUAGAGGUUGAAAUGAUGUUGAGGAUGCUAAGCUGGAGACAUGAAUGGGCAACUUGGGCAUGAAAGAUGGAGCCAGCUCAGAGGCAUAAAAACGAUAAUACUUUUUAUAUUAAAAAUUGAUUUUCAUAUUAAAUUUUAUACAUCUAUUUUAAAACAAUUAAAAUUUUAUUCAAUUUUCAAUUAUAAUAUAUGCACUGCCUCUCGCGGGUCGAUACUGCUGACGAGUGCAUGAAAUUAUUAUAAAUAUCUCAUGGAAUGAGGACAGAUUAAAGAAGAGGAGAGAGAGAGAGAGAGAGGGAGAAGAAGAAGACAACCAAAAAAGAAAAGGAAGACAGCAUUGUAAACAUAGAAAAUGGAAAGUAUUGGAAAUAUUUCAUGAAAUCGGAGUAAACAACAAAACAAAAUAAAAUACUUUUAAUCCCUGUUUCCUACUUCUGUCAUAAAGUAUGGAUAGAGAUGAGACGAAGGAGGAGAAGGAGGAGAAGGAGGAGCACUCAGCUUUCACCGAUACUGCAGUGUGUUGUGGUGGUGUAGCAUAUGGUAGGAUGUCAUUCUUGCUCCAAAAGUGUGGGCAGAUCCAUUUUUAUUUUCCUUUUUUCAUCUCUGUCCUCACUGAUUCGUUUUGGGUAUCCAUCAAUAUUUAUCAGUGGGCUUGGUGUUAGUCAAAAGCCACCAAUUUUUCUUUCCUUUUUUUUUUUCCCAUAUAUUAGAAUGAAAUGUUGUUGUCCAUUUUAGGGGAAGGCGUUAUGCUGAACUGAACUGUGCGAGGGGAAUGAAAAUUAAUUUAGGGGUUUUCUUCCUCCUCUAUUUUUGGCUCUCUUUCAUGAGGGUACAGAUUCUCUUUUUUUCUCUCGGAGUGUUUGGAUUGUUUCAUUCCAUUUAACUAUUUUUGCAGCAUAUUCCGAGUGUUAUAGGUAUUGGGUAAUCAGUAAUACAGAAAAUGUAAUAUAAUUUUGUACUAUGUAGUUUUGGACUUGGGGUAGGAUGAGUUUAAUUUAUGUAGAUUCAUGUCACUAUUCUCAGCCUUCAAUGCAUUGAUUUCUCCAGAUUUUGAUAUAUAUAUAUAUAUAUAUAUACAAACUGCAAUGGGAAUAAAAAGGAUGGUUGUUUCUUCAAGAAUUCUGAGAAAAAAAAAGGGGGUGGGGGGGCAAGAGAGGUUUGAGGAGGCCAUUGGGACUGUUAUCAGUUCUGUGUCUUUUGUUUUCAAGUUGUAAGAAGUCCCUGUUAUGCCAUUUGCUAUGUUGUUUCUGUCCAAUUUUCAGUUGAAAGAGUGGUAGAUUAGAGAAGGAGGAAUGGCUCAGACAUCUGGAUGCAGCUCUGGAGAUAGUAGAUGGUCUCUCAAGGGAAUGACUGCUCUCGUAACUGGUGGAACUAAAGGAAUUGGGUUUGUGAUGUUACCUGUAUUCUAUGUCUUUGGUUUGGACUACACCUUCCUUCCCAUAUAUAAAUGUAUGUAUCAAUUAUGCAGGCAUGCAAUUGUGGAAGAACUGGCUGGACUAGGAGCAACCAUACACACAUGUUCUAGAAAAGAAACCGAGCUCAAUGAAUGCUUGAAGGAUUGGAAAGCUAAAGGUUUUGGAGUGAGUGGUUCAGUGUGUGAUGUAUCCUCUCGGGCCCAAAGGGAGAAGCUAAUGCAGACUAUCUCUUCUGUGUUCAAUGGGAAGUUGAAUAUCCUUGUAAGUUCCUCUAGCCUGUAAAGUUCCAACCUGUGAUCUUAUACAUAAUUUGUUGAACUUAUUACAAUUGAGUUCCCCUGCUUGAAUUUUUGUUGGAUUCAGAUCAACAAUGCUGCUAUAAGUAUUCAGAAACCAACAAUAGAGGUCACAGCUGAAGAGUUCUCAACAAUCAUGGCCACAAAUUUUGAAUCUGUGUACCAUCUGUCCCAAAUCGCACACCCCCUUUUAAAGGCAUCAGGAGCCGGAAGCAUUGUAUUCAUCUCCUCUGUUUCCGGCAUAGUGGCACACAAGAAUAUCUCUGCUUAUUCAGUAACCAAAGGUAUUUCAUCACAUGAUCCAUGGUAUAUUCCAAGUGCUAGGAGUAAAUUCCUAUUUACCAGAGCAAUACUGAACAAGAGAAACAUAUAGAAUUUAUAGCGGUUCUCUUCUAAAGGGAGAGCUACAUCCAUUUUGCCAUUGUAGAUUUUCAUUAUGAAAAAAAAAAAAACCUACAGAACGAUCUCAGGUCUUACAAUAAUUAUCUCAUCUCUGAUUUUCCACAGAGAAAACAGUCACCAUGCAUGUACAAAAUAACUAUAAUAUCCCUUUGAUUGAUUCUCAGUCACCAGGAAAAGUGUAUAUUGUAAUUAGCAAGGCUCCACACAACUGAACAGCAAGUCCUUGGAUUGACCAUCUGUCAUUAUCAUUUUGUGAUUUUUCAGGAGCAAUGAAUCAACUUACAAAGAAUUUGGCAUGCGAGUGGGCGAAAGACAAUAUUAGAAGUAAUGCUGUAGCUCCUUGGUACAUCAAAACUCCAAUGGUGGAGCAGGUAAUUUCUAAUUUCCCUUCACAUCAUUUAGUUGCUCGAAUUCCCUUCUUUUUUUCUUGGUCUGGGAAAAUAGAAUAAUUGACUCGUCCUUCCUUCUCUGUCGUUUACAUUCUCUGGGUUCCAGAUGCUCACUAACCAAGCCUUUCUGGAAGAGGUGAUAAAUCGAGCUCCACUUCGUCGUGUGGGAGAUCCAAAGGAGGUGUCAUCUUUGGUAGCAUUCCUCUGCCUACCGGCAUCAUCUUACAUUACUGGACAGAUUAUUUGUGUUGAUGGUGGCAUGACUGUUAAUGGUUUUGAGUCAAACCUGCUCUAGGAACAUCAUAUGUGAUGGUAUUAUAGCCCUAAUUUGGCUGGCAUGUAUGGAGACUCUUUCAAACAUCUUAGCUUCCUCUACUGCUUCCAUGCCUGGAUCCUUUCUUUUUCCUGAAUAAUCUGCUUGUCAUGCCAAAGUCUUUAGUUUUUUUGGUGUGGGGUUCCCUUGAAAACCUUGCUGCAUGAUGCUUAUAAUAAUGUUUGGAAAGUUUGCUAAUUUUUAUUUGGGUUCAAAUUUUAAUUUUUCAAAAAGUUUCUUAUUAUUUGAUGAGAUUCUUGUGAAGGGUGUUUUUAUAAGGAUUUUAAUUCCAUACAUAAAUCAUACAUCUUUAAUCUCAAUACCAUUGAAAUAUAUAUCCAAUCCUUUGUUGUUCUUUCGUUUUUUUGUAACUUAAUUGUAGUAGGAUCGGAAAUAUGCGAACACUUUCUACUUUUGACCAUUUGCUUUGCUAAAUUAGACCAACUUUUCAUAAUACAAUUCUCAAGUAUUUCUUCAUUUUCAUUACAAUGAUCAUGCAUGGAUAUGGAAAAACUAAUCGGACUCUAAUGUCGUUCAAAUGCAUUUCAUAGAUCAAUCUUCAUCGUCGUAUCCUAAUUUUCAAAACUUGUUAGAACUUCUAAACUUAGUCAAUAUGUAUAGACAUGAUAUCCUCCAUGAUUUUUUUUUAUUGCAACGAAAAAAAGUUAUACAUUCUAUAUUUGAUCCCUAAAUAAAAAAGAAAAAAAGAAAAAAAAAAGAAUGUCUUGCAAAAAUAUUAGGGUUGCACAAAGUUUGGUUGUUAGAAUAAGUAAAAAUGAUGUGCAUCAAAAUAUGUCUUUGAGAAUGGCAAAUAUGUGAGUGCGCUUUAAAAACUCAAAUGGCUUCAAAUGAAUUUCAAGGAAAUGAUUCCAACAUAUAUUCAUCUUCUUAUACCUUUCUGUGCUUCUCCACCAUUUGUAACAAUUUCCUCACUCAUUUGUAAUCCUAAUAAACCUUCCGACCUAUUUUAAAAUUUGUCAAUAUAUUUUAAGCUAAGCUCACCAUCUAUAGUAUCAAAAAAAUUUCUCCUUAAUCCAUGUGGGAUAUGUAUAAUGAAUAAUAUUUGCUCAAAGGUUAAAUAUAUGAAAAUAAUUAAGAUUCAAUCACAUAAAAAUUACAUAUAGCAAGUAGGGAUAACAAUUUUGAUACUAAUAUAAUAAAACGACUAAAAAAUUACAUGGAUUUUAGUAGUUUUGGGUUAAGUAUAAUCAUAUUUAUGUUAUAAUUGUGUAAACACAUUUAUUAAACCAAUGAUAUUGGAAUGUGACUAUUCAACUCAUUUAACCCAUUUAUUUAUUCAUAUCAAAACACAUCUAUGAUAUGAUUAUGAGAACUAAUUUAUGAUUGACAUAACCAAUUUAUAACUUAUUAAUUAAUUCAUAUAAAUUUAUUAAUUUUAUAGAUAUUUAAAAAAUAUUAAAAAUUUAAAACACUUUUUCAAUUAUAAAGAUGUCCUAUAAAACACUAAGGAGGUCACCCUUAUUUAUAUAUGAAAUUAGGGAAUUAAAUUUGAAAUAUAUGAUAUUUGAUUACUUAAUUUAAAGAAUUUGAUUUCUUAAUUUCAAUAACUUUUCAGCCUCAUUUAAGAAAUUUGCCAACAAUCAAAUGUUUUUUCUAAGUCCCUUUUGACUUCAAUUUCCCAAUUUGUUUCUCCUAUUUGAGAAAUCUAUCAAUAAGAAAAUAUUUCUCUCUAAUUCCUUUUUAACUUUAAUUAUUUUAUUUUAUUUUAUAAGACUAGAUUUUGAAACCGUUCAAAUUUUACCGUGUGUUAUUUUUAAAAUCGUAUAUCGCAUGUUCAAUGUGUAGAAUUCAUGACUUAUGAAAUCCAAAUUUUAUUGAACUAUAGGGUUAUAACUUUAGUGACAAAUUUUAUAGUAAUUUAAUCCUUCUUUUAUUUUUAAGCCUACAUAGCUCAACAAGUUGAAUAUAUUUUUAUCGUGUUAAUGGGUUAUCAGUCUUGAUUUAAUUUAAUUUAUCAAAGAGGUUAAAUGAAUGAUUCCCAAUUUGCCACCACAAUAACAAGAGACAACAGACAGAAGGAAAGAGAAACUAAAAUACGUAAUGUGACUUUUCCUUUCAUGUUGCUUACUAUACUUGGUGUCUCUUAAUUUGUUUUUAUUAUAAGAUGUUAAUAAUAUGAUUUUAUUGAUUUAUACCCCAUAUAUAUCAUUUGAGGGAUUGAAAAUAUUGCAAAUUCAUAAUUAAAUUUAAAAGAUAAAUACAUAUACACACACACACAUAUAUAUAUAUAUAUAUAUAUAUAUAUAUAUAUAUAUGAAUAAAAAAAAUCAUCUAUGUAUAAAAUAAUAAUAAGUAGUCUAUUUUUAUCAUUUUUAUGUUAGAAGUUAAUCGAAAACAUAUUUUUUGUUUUUCCAUAAUUUAUACAAAAUUAUAAUAAAAUUUUUAUUCUAGAUAAAAUUAUAUUUUAUAAUUUGUAAUAAUUUAAUUAUAUCAAUUUAAUAUUUUGAUAUCCGUCGUAAAUUAUAUAGAAAUAUUGGAGUGCAAAUACUAAACUACAUAAUAACAACAAGACACCUUAUUCAUCCAAAUUUUCAAAUUUCAAAUAGAAAAUAUUAAAAACAUAAUUUUUAAAUUUAUUAAAAUAUUUAUAUUUGUAAAAAAGUAAUUAAUAAAGAUUUUAAAAUUUUAAAUAUGAUUAAUGAGAUUAUUAUGUGGGUAUUUAUUACUAAUAUUUAAUAUUAAAAAAAAUAAAAUAACAAUAUGAUAUUAAGAUUAUAUUUUUAUAAAUAUAGCAAAAUGAGAUUAUUCUAAAUUCAGUGAUGAUAACAUUAUAGUAAAAAUAAGGAGUGAUAUAAUUAUAAAUAUUUCACUAAGAGCAUAAAAAAUAAAAAAAUAUGGUAAAUUUAGCGAGUAAUAUUGUUACUAUAAAUAUCUGGUGACACGACGACAGAUAUAUGAGUAGAGAAAAACCUCGCUAUUCUACAUAUAGAGAUUCAGAUACCAUUGCCUAUGUCAUGAAAUCAGAGUCCACAAGAAGACAACAUAAAAUGCUAUCGAUCCAUCGCUGUUUCUUGCUCCUGUUAUAAAUUAUGGAUACUAGAUGAAGAUGAGAAGUAGAAGGAGAAGAAACACUUAGCUUUCAAGGAGUCGUAGAGCAGAGGAGGAGACAUGGCUCAGACAUGUGGGUGCAGCUCUGGAGAUAGUAGAUGGUUUCUCAAGGGAAUGACUGCUCUUGUAACCGGUGGAACUAAAGGAAUUGGGUUGGUGUUACCUGUUUUUACGUCUUUGGGUUUGGACUACACCUUCCUAUAUAUAAACGUAUGUAUCAAUUCUGCAGGCAUGCAAUUGUGGAGGAACUGGCUGGAUUAGGAGCAACCAUACACACGUGUUCUCGAAAAGAAAGCGAGCUCAAUGAAUGCUUAAAGGAUUGGAAAGCUAAAGGUUUGGAGUGAGUGGUUCAGUGUGUGAUGUAUCCUCUCGGGCCCAAAGGGAGAAGCUAAUGGAGACUGUCUCUUCUGUGUUCAAUGGGAAGCUGUAUAUCCUUGUAAGUUCCUCUAGUCUCUAAGGUUCCUAUCCAUGAUAUUCCACAUACUUUGUCGAACUUCCUACAAUUUGAGUUCCCCUACUUGAUAUAUAUAUAUAUAUAUAUAUUAUAUACUUUUUUUUAGAACCAGACAGCUUUGGUUUCAAAGACCCUACAUUUACCCAUCAUCCUUGUUAAAUAAUUAUGAGGAAGUCAUACUUACACGUGGAGAUUGAAAAAAAUAAUGAAUGAAUUCCACCAAAUGAAUUAAUUUUGUUUGGCAAUUUCAUUUGAAAAUCAACAAAGAAUGAUGUGAGGUGUGAAUCUUUUUCCAUAUAUCAGCGCACAUAUUCAAAUUCAGCCCUUUCCAUUAAUCUGAUAGCGAUUAUGAGGUUGCGUAGAUGCUACAACAACGACCAAAUGUGAUGAAGAUUUCAGGAAGUGUUGUGAAGAAUUUGAAGAAAAAUAUGAAGAAUUUGAAACAAAAUAUGGAGGAACACCUCAAUUCAUUCUGUGAUACCUUCCUUUACAAUGAAUGAAAGCAUAAAUAAAUAGCCUACGGAUAUGAGACAAUUCCGGAAUGGAAUUUCCCUUACAUGGAAAGUGAAUAAACUCUUACAUGGGAAGUGAAUAAACUACUCUUACAUGGAAAGUGAAUAAACUACCUUGCUAGAAUUACUCCUAAAUAUAUAAACUACUCUUACAUGGAAAGUGAAUAAACUACCUUGCUAGAAUUACUCCUAAAUCAAUUAUAAUAAAGGCUGUACAUUACACUAAUUAGGGAAGUAAACAGAGGAUGCUGGCUUGAUUUCCAACACUCCCCCUCAAGCCGCAUUGUAGAUGUUGAUCAUUCCAAGUUUUUCUGUCAGAUCUUCGAAGUUAACUCGAGCAAGAGCUUUUGUGAGAAUGUCAGCCGUUUGACAGUUUGUCGGAGUGUAGCUGACUUUGAAAACUCCUUCUUCAAUCUUUUCCUUGAUAAAGUGUCGAUCUAUCUCCACGUGCUUAGUUCGAUCAUGAUGAACCGGAUUCUUAGCGAUACUGAUGGCAGCUUGAUUGUCGCAGUAUAACACCAUGGGAUGCUUCAAUGGAACCCGUAAUUCUUCUAACAGCCUGUUCAACCAGAUUCCCUCGCAGAUACCUUGUGCCAUAGCACGAAAUUCUGCCUCAGCACUGCUACGGGCUACCACUGACUGUUUCUUGCUUCGCCAUGUAACCAAGUUCCCUCAGACAAAUGAACAAUAGCCUGAAGUUGAUCUCCGAUCAGUCACUAAACCUGCCCAAUCUGCAUCUGAAAAAAUCUCUAUCUCUUUAUUUGUUGUUCUUUGAAAGAAGAGACCCUUUCCCGGUGUCAUCUUGAGGUAUCUCAAUAUUCUGAUCACAGCAAUCAUGUGUUUUUCGGUUGGAUUAUUCAUGAAUUGACUUACCACACUAACGGAGAAGCCGAUGUCUGGCCUUGUAUGAGAAAGAUAGAUGAGUUUCCCCACAAGACGUUGAUAUCUUCCUUUAUCAACUGGCGCACUUCCAUCACAUUUCUUCCANNNNNNNNNNNNNNNNNNNNNNNNNNNNNNNNNNNNNNNNNNNNNNNNNNNNNNNNNNNNNNNNNNNNNNNNNNNNNNNNNNNNNNNNNNNNNNNNNNNNNNNNNNNNNNNNNNNNNNNNNNNNNNNNNNNNNNNNNNNNNNNNNNNNNNNNNNNNNNNNNNNNNNNNNNNNNNNNNNNNNNNNNNNNNNNNNNNNNNNNNNNNNNNNNNNNNNNNNNNNNNNNNNNNNNNNNNNNNNNNNNNNNNNNNNNNNNNNNNNNNNNNNNNNNNNNNNNNNNNNNNNNNNNNNNNNNNNNNNNNNNNNNNNNNNNNNNNNNNNNNNNNNNNNNNNNNNNNNNNNNNNNNNNNNNNNNNNNNNNNNNNNNNNNNNNNNNNNNNNNNNNNNNNNNNNNNNNNNNNNNNNNNNNNNNNNNNNNNNNNNNNNNNNNNNNNNNNNNNNNNNNNNNNNNNNNNNNNNNNNNNNNNNNNNNNNNNNNNNNNNNNNNNNNNNNNNNNNNNNNNNNNNNNNNNNNNNNNNNNNNNNNNNNNNNNNNNNNNNNNNNNNNNNNNNNNNNNNNNNNNNNNNNNNNNNNNNNNNNNNNNNNNNNNNNNNNNNNNNNNNNNNNNNNNNNNNNNNNNNNNNNNNNNNNNNNNNNNNNNNNNNNNNNNNNNNNNNNNNNNNNNNNNNNNNNNNNNNNNNNNNNNNNNNNNNNNNNNNNNNNNNNNNNNNNNNNNNNNNNNNNNNNNNNNNNNNNNNNNNNNNNNNNNNNNNNNNNNNNNNNNNNNNNNNNNNNNNNNNNNNNNNNNNNNNNNNNNNNNNNNNNNNNNNNNNNNNNNNNNNNNNNNNNNNNNNNNNNNNNNNNNNNNNNNNNNNNNNNNNNNNNNNNNNNNNNNNNNNNNNNNNNNNNNNNNNNNNNNNNNNNNNNNNNNNNNNNNNNNNNNNNNNNNNNNNNNNNNNNNNNNNNNNNNNNNNNNNNNNNNNNNNNNNNNNNNNNNNAUGCAUGAAACGUAGGUGAUAGCUUAUCAUAAGAAAAUAAAAUUUCCAAAUGGGAUGCUGAGUGCAUGAUCUAACUCCUUUCCUCCAAGCUAUGGGCAUAUUAAGAAUAUCAUUUUCUAACUCGGAAUCAACAGUACCAUCAGGAGCGUUGUUACCUGGAAGUUUGCUUGGAUUAGGACCCGGUUCUGCCUCAUGGGUUUGUUGAGAAAGUGAUCUUUCCUCCGUUUCCUCUUGGAUGUGCUCCUUAUCCCACAAGUCAACAAUGGACUCGGGUUGAUUAAAUGACUCUGGAGGAAUGUGAUUUUCAGUGGUGAUGGGUGACUCACUGAAUGACUCAAGAUCCCAAAAUUGAUAUUCCUGAGUUGAAUUCUCCCCCUGAAUAUCGUUUUUGGGAUAGUAAGGCUGGGUUUCAAAAAAGGUGACAUCCAUUGAAUUUUAGAAUUUUCUUGUGACCGGAGAGUAACACUUAUACCCUUUUUGAUUUGAAGAAUACCCAAGAAAGAUGCACUUGAGUGACCUAGGAUCAAGUUUACUUCUAUGUUGUUGAUUGAUAUGAACAAAGAUAGAGCACCCGAAAAUUUUAGGUGGGACGGUGGAGAUGAGACGAGUAGUCGGAAAGGAUUUUAGGAGUGUUUGACAAGGUGUUUGGAAUUUUAGUACCCUAGACGGCAUCCUAUUGAUGAGGUAGGCUGCCAUAAGGACAGCUUGCCCCCAGAAUAAUUUUGGAACAUUCAUGGAGAACAUUAGUGAUCUAGCCACCUCUAACAAAUGCCUAUUUUUCCUUUCAGCGAUUCCGUUUUGUUGUGGGGUAUCAACACAUGAAUUUAAGUGAACUAUCCCUUCUUGUGCUAGAAAUUCUCCUAGAAUGGAGUUGAAAUAAUCCCUAGCAUUAUCAGACUUUAGAAUUUGUAUUUUUGACUGGAAUUGAGUCUGAAUCAUAUUUUUAAAAUUUUUGAAAAUUUGACUCGUUUCAGAUUUUUCUUUCAUGAGGAAUACCCAAGUUAAUCUAGUGUGAUCAUCUAUGAAUGAGACAAACCACCUAGUACCAGUUACAUUUUUUAUUCUUGAUGGACCCCAGAUAUUGCUAUGAAUCAUUGAGAAUGGACUAGACUCUUUAUAGGGUUGAAUGGGAAAAUGAGACCGGACUUGCUUUGAUAAUUGACAGAUUUCACACUCAAAGGAUUUUGGAUUUUUAUUAAAUAAUGAAGGAAAUAAAUGCUUGAGAUACAUAACAUUUGGAUGACCUAAGCGAUAGUGCCACAACCUAAUUGCACUAUCGUUAUUUUGACAUGAAACCAAAAAAGAAUUACUACCAACUGUCAUUUGAGGUUGUUCUUGUGGAUCGUGGCGCUCCUUAAGGAUGUAGAGUCCAGAGCAUUCCUCAGCAUUGCCAAUCGUCUUCCCCGAAUCCAAAUCCUGAAAUUCACAGUGAGUGGAGGAAAAAUUAGUAGAUACACCUCUUUUCCUUAGUGAGUUUACUAANNNNNNNNNNNNNNNNNNNNNNNNNNNNNNNNNNNNNNNNNNNNNNNNNNNNNNNNNNNNNNNNNNNNNNNNNNNNNNNNNNNNNNNNNNNNNNNNNNNNCGUCAUAUGAUCAGAUGCUCCUGAGUCCACUAUCCAAGGUUUUUUACGUUUCUUACCAGCAGUGAAGGCACUCAAAAAAUUACCUUUGUGAGCCAAGGUUCCGGAACCAAUGACCUGGUUGGAAGAUGAGCCAGUUUGUGACUGUACUGACAAAAGAGGAGACAGUAGUUUCUGAAGCAUCUCCAUCUGAUGAGAGGAUGAAGACGAUGAGAUGAUGAUAUCAGAAGUAGAGGAUGAUGAGUUGGUAGCCAUUCCAAAGGCUGGACCGUAUUUAGGCAUAAAUUAGAAGAAUAGAAUUGAGUAAAAAAAAACUGACUAAAGAUGAAGACGAUGAGACAGGAUUAAACCUGCUCUGAUACCAUGAAGAAUUUGAAGAAAAAUAUGAAGAAUUUGAAAACAAAAUAUGGAGGAACACCUCAAUUCAUUCUGUGAUACCUUCCUUUACAAUGAAUGAAAGCAUAAAUAAAUAGCCUACGGAUAUGAGACAAUUCCGGAAGGGAAUUUCCCUUACAUGGAAAGUGAAUAAACUCUUACAUGGGAAGUGAAUAAACUACUCUUACAUGGAAAGUGAAUAAACUACCUUGCUAGAAUUACUCCUAAAUCAAUUAUAAUAAAGGCUGUACAUUACACUAAUUAGGGAAGUAAACAGAGGAUGCUGGCUUGAUUUCCAACAUGUUGGAGUGCGCAUGCUUGAGGAUGAAAACUGUGAACUUGAAAUGACUUAGAAGAUUAAUUUAAGUUUUCAAAUACAUAAAAUAUAAUUAAUAACAUAACUUAAUACAAUAAGUUAAGGCUUCCUAAAGUCUUAAAAUAAAUAACUUUUUCCCAACCUGAAAUAUCCUUUGCCUUGGUAAUAUUCAUGUUCUUCAAGAUCAAAAUUAGUUUGUUUGAUAUAUAAUUCAAAUUAAAAGAUGGAGGGUGUGCCGGGUCCUUUCUAAAUUCAAAAUGGCAUCAUGAAUCAGGUAAGGUUGUGCCCCACGGAUGAAAAUAUAGUAUUAGUUUGGACAAUGUGCCAUGGAAAGAAGAUAGAUUAAGUUCUACAUAUUCAUAUCAGUUGUCUCAGCUUUCACGGCAGACAUUUUCGACGCAAGAGACCGUCUCUUGCGGUGAGUAUUAACCACACUUCUAAAGUUGGAUGUUCGAGAAGACAACUGGGAUUGAUCAGUUUUGUCUCUUUUAUUUUCAGCUUCCUAGAAUCUCUCUCUCUAUCUCUCUUUUUUUUUUCUCAAGGUUAAUGUCAUUUUCUAUGUUGUGGUAGAGUAGAGAAGAACUCAGAAGGCAUGGCACAGACUGGCUGCAGCAAUGGAGAUAAUAGAUGGUCUCUCAAGGGAAUGACAGCCCUUGUAACGGGUGGAAUGAACUUUGAUCUGUCUCUGCCAAUUAUCACCUUGUUUUUAUAUCAAUUCUGCAGGCAUGCUGUUGUGGAAGAACUGACUGGAUUAGGUGCAAGAAUACAUACAUGUUCUCGAACAGAAACUGGGCUUAAUGAAUACUUAAGGGAUUGGGAGGGUAAAGGUUUUGAAGUCACUGGCUCAGUCUGUGAUGUAUCCUCUAGGGCCCAAAGAGAGAAGCUAAUGGAGACAGUAUCUUCUAAGUUUAAUGGGAAGCUGAAUAUCCUUGUUAGUUCCUCUAGUUUGUUAAAUGUGACCCAUCCAUUUUAGAAUCAUUUUCACUAAAUAUAAUUGAUGAGUUACCCUAACUGAAUCUUUGAAUUUAGAUCAACAACGCUGGAACUGGCAAACCGGGACGGACAGUGGAGUUCGCAGCUGAAGAGUUCUCAACGGUCAUGGCUGUAAAUUUUGAAUCUGUGUAUCAUCUAUGCCAACUUGCGCAUCCCCUUCUGAAGGCCUCAGGAGCGGGAAGUAUUGUGCUCAUGUCUUGUGUUUCAGGUGUAGUAUCACUCAAGUAUCUAUCUGCCUAUGGAGCAACCAAAGGUACUUCAUGCCACCAUCGGGUUUAUGUUGCAGGUCCUGUGUUGUUGGACAAGAUGAUAGAUAUUUACCUUUAAAAUUUUUCUUUCGGGGGCACUGAAUCAGCUUGCAAAGAACUUGGCAUGCGAGUGGGCGCAAGACAAUAUCAGGACAAACUCUGUUGCCCCUCGGUACAUCAAAACUUCUCUGGUAGAACCUGUGAGUUUAAUUCCCUUCACCUCAUUUAAAAGUUGCUGUUGUUUUCAUUGGGAAAACUGAUUAAUAAACCAAUCUUCUGUUUUGUUUUCUUUUAUUUUUUUGGUUGUAUCAUUUUGGUUUCAGUUUCUUAGUGAGAAAAGCUUUACGGAAGAGGUAAUAAGAAGAACUCCGCUUGGUCGAGUGGGGGAUCCAAAGGAGGUGUCAUCCUUGGUAGCAUUCCUCUGCCUACCAGUAUCAUCUUACAUUACUGGCCAGACCAUUUGUGCUGAUGGUGGGAUGAAUGUUAAUGGUUUCGAUCCGAGUCAAUGCUAGAAACAACUAGCAUUUAUAUAAUUGUUGUUUUCUCAUAUUUUUCAUACUCACUCUAAUAUUCUUCAUUAUCAUAUUUAUAUAUAUAUAUAUAUAUAGAUAUAUAUAUAUAUUUAUGUAGGUGUACGUGCACACGUGUGUUCAUGUGCGGAUCAUGGACAUUUUUUUUGUAUUCUGUCAUAUUCUUCUUACACUCUCAAAAUAUUCAUAUAUUUUUUACAAUCUUCAUGCAUUUUUUUUUUUUAAUUCUUGAUAUUCUCUCAUAUUCUUUGUAUAAUUUAUAUUGGAAAAAUGAAUAAAAAAAAUAUGGUUUAAAAUUGAUAAAAUAAGAAUAAAAGAUAUAAAAAUAAAAUAAAAUGAUAGAAAAAUAUCAAUAUUAGAGGAAGAUAUACUUGGAUAAUUAGACGCUAAAACCUUGAAGAUGCAAACAUAGUAUGUGGCUAUUUAAUGAGGAACUUAAGGAAUUUGUUCAAUAAUAGUAGCUACCAUGGGAUUAAAGGAUAGUGUAAACGAGUCCGAGGGAGAAACAAUUUUAAUAAAAAAUUAAUUAAAAAUUUAUAUAUUUGUAAUAAAAAUUUGAAAUAAGUUAAAUUAAUUUAAAAUGAUAUAUAAAAAUGAUUUACUGCUUUAAAUCUAUUUUUAUUUUUUAUUUUUUUUUCAUUUCUUUUUUACUUUUUCUUUAUAUAUAUAUAUAUAUAUAUAUAGAUAUAGAUAUAGAUAUAUAUAUUAUAUAUUUUUUUGAGAACCAGCCAGCUUUGGUUUCAAAGACCCUACAUUUACCCACCAUCCUUGUCAAAUAAUUAUGAGGAGCUCAUGCUUACAUGUGGAGAUUGAAAAAAAAUAAUGAUUGAAUUCCACCAAAUGAAUUAAUUUUGUUUGGCAAUUUCAUUUGAAAAUCAACAAAGAAUGAUGUGAUGUGUGAAUCUUUUUCCAUAUAUCAGCGCACAUAUUCAAAUUCAUCCCUUUCCAUUAAUCUGAUAGCGAUUAUGAGGUUGCGUAGAUGCUACGACGACGACCAAAUGUGAUGAAGAUUUCAGGAAGUGUUGGAGUGCGCAUGCUUGAGGACCAAAACUGUGAACUUGAAAUGACUAUUGAAUGCUACCAUAUGAAAUUCGGCCUGAAUCUUUUUCCAAUUCAAAUGCAGGCAGUUCCAUUAAUUUGAUAGAUAUUAUGAGGUUGCCUAUCAUGCUAAGAUAACCAAAUCCGAUGAGAAGUUCAAGAAGUGUUUUGAGUGUGUUUUAGUACUGACACCAUGAAUUCAAAAACAAAUAUAACAUAGAAACACAAAUCAAAACCCAUCACAUGAUGAUAUAGUCGAUAGGAAAUUUGCUUUCUUAAACCAUGCCACGUCCCAUGAAAAAGAAAAUUAAGAAAAUUACAAAUUUUACUUCGAUGGGCUCACAUGCUAUGUGAACCGUCCACUUAAUCGAGGUUAAGAUUAUCUUCAUUUACUUAGAAGAUAAUAAUGAAUUUUUCAAGUAAAAUUUUUUGAGAACCAGACAGCUUUGGUUUCAAAGACCCUACAUUUACCCAUCAUCCUUGUUAAAUAAUUAUGAGGAAGUCAUACUUACACGUGGAGAUUGAAAAAAAUAAUGAAUGAAUUCCACCAAACGAAUUAAUUUUGUUUGGCAAUUUCAUUUGAAAAUCAACAAAGAAUGAUGUGAGGUGUGAAUCUUUUUCCAUAUAUCAGCGCACAUAUUCAAAUUCAGCCCUUUCCAUUAAUUUGAUAGCGAUUAUGAGGUUGCGUAGAUGCUACGACGACGACCAAAUGUGAUGAAGAUUUCAGGAAGUGUUGGAGUGCGCAUGUUUGAGGACGAAAACUGUGAACUUGAAAUGACUUAGAAGAUUAAUUUAAGUUUUCAAAUACAUAAAAUAUAAUUAAUAACAUAACUUAAUACAAUAAGUUAAGGCUUCCUAAAGUCUUAAAAUAAAUAACUUUUUCCCAACCUGAAAUAUCCUUUGCCUUGGUAAUAUUCAUGUUCUUCAAGAUCAAAAUUAGUUUGUUUGAUAUAUAAUUCAAAUUAAAAGAUGGAGGGUGUGUCGGUCCUUUCUAAAUUCAAAAUUGCAUCAUCAAUCAAUCGGAUAAGGUUGUGUCCGACGGAUGAAAAUGUAAUAUUAGUUUGGACAAUGUGCCAUGGAAAGAAGAUAGAUAGAUUAAGUUCUACAUAUUCAUAUCAGUUGUCUCAGCUUUCACGGCAGACAUUUUCGACGCAAGAGACUGUCUCUUGCGGUGAGUAUUAACCACACUUCUAAACUUGGAUGUUCGAGAAGACAACUGGGAUUGAUCAGUUUUGUCUCUUUUAUUUUCAGCUUCCUAGAAUCUCUUUUUUUUUUUUUUCUCAAGGUUAAUGUCAUUUUCUAUGUUGUGGUAGAGUAGAGAAGAGCUCAGAAGGCAUGGCACAGACUGGCUGCAGCAAUGGAGAUAAUAGAUGGUCUCUCAAGGGAAUGACGGCCCUUGUAACGGGUGGAACUAGAGGAAUCGGGUCCGUGUUACCUGUUUUUCUGUUCUGGAAUGAACUUAAUUUGAUCUGUCUCUGCCAAUUAUCACCUUGUUUUUAUAUCAAUUCUGUAGGCAUGCUGUUGUGGAAGAACUGACUGGAUUAGGUGCAAGAAUACAUACAUGUUCUCGAACAGAAACUGAGCUUAAUGAAUAUUUAAGGGAUUGGGAGGGUAAAGGUUUUGAAGUCACUGGCUCAGUCUGUGAUGUAUCCUCUAGGGCCCAAAGAGAGAAGCUAAUGGAGACAGUAUCUUCUAAGUUUAAUGGGAAGCUGAAUAUCCUUGUUAGUUAACCUCUAGUUUGUUAAAUGUGGCCCAUCCAUUUUAGAAUCAUUUUCAUUAAAUAUAAUUGAUGAGUUACCCUAACCGAAUCUUUGAAUUUAGAUCAACAACGCUGGAACUGGCAAACCGGGACGGACGGUGGAGUUCACAGCUGAAGAGUUCUCAAGUAUCAUGGCUGUAAAUUUUGAAUUUGUCUACCAUCUAUGCCAACUUGCUCAUCCCCUUUUGAAGGCAUCAGGAGCGGGAAGUAUUGUGCUCAUGUCUUCUGUUGCAGGUGUAGUAUCACUCAAGUAUUUAUCUGCCUAUGGUGCAACCAAAGGUACUUCAUUCUACCAUAGGGUUUAUGUUGCAGGUCCUGAGUUGUUGGACAAGAUGAUAGAUAUUUACCUUGAUAAUUUUGCUUCAGGGGCACUGAAUCAGCUUGCGAAGAGCUUGGCAUGCGAGUGGGCGCAAGACAAUAUCAGGGCUAACUCUAUUGCUCCUUGGUUCAUCAAAACUUCUCUGGUAGAACCUGUGAGUACCCUUCACCUCAUUUGAAGUUGCUGUUGUUUUCAUUGGGAAAACUGAUUAAUAAACUAAUCUUCUGUUUUGUUUUCUUUUAUUUUUUUGGUUGUAUCAUUUUGGUUUCAGUUUCUUAGUAAGAAAAGCUUUACGGAAGAGGUAAUAAGAAGAACUCCGCUUGGUCGAGUGGGGGAUCCAAAGGAGGUGUCAUCCUUGGUAGCAUUCCUCUGCCUACCAGCAUCAUCUUACAUUACUGGCCAGACCAUUUGUGUUGAUGGUGGGAUGAGUAUUAAUUGUUUCGAUCCAAGUCAAUGCUAGAAACACCUAGCAUUUAUAUUAAUAUAUGUUGUUUUCUCAAAACCGCUUCUGUUUUUGGGAUUAUUUGCUCGUGAUAGUGACCUUGUGGUCCUAGGAUUAAUGCAUGGUUACCAAAUAUUAAGUCUAUGCUUCCAAUAAAUAUUAAAAAAUUUCUUAUUAUUCAAUCACGGAUUUCUACCUUCUUCUCCGGUCAUAGAUACUGUUUAGGUCUCCGGUGCAUUCCCCGCUCACCCACCUACAUCUGAUUGGUUGCAACGUUCAAUCACGGAUUUCUUAUUAUUCAUAUAUCUUUUAGUACAUUUUUUCAAAUUCUUGAUAUUUAUUCGUAUUAUUUGUAUAAUUUAUAUAAGAAAAAAUGAUUUAAAAUAAAAAUAUAUGGUUUAAAAUUGAUAAAAUAUCAUGAAUAACGUUUUACAAUCCAUAAGAUACAAAAAUAAAACAAACUGAUAGAAAAAUAUCGACAUUGGUUAAAAAUAAUUAAGUUAAUCGCGAGUAUAACUAAAUCAUCUCAACUUGAUGAAUGAUAAAUUCAUUUAUAAAAAAAUUUAAAAUAAAAAACCUAUUAAUUAUUGAAAAUUCAAAUAUGAUUUGAUAUAAAUGUUUUGUUAUGAAAUUUACAUUUGUAUGAAAAAAUAGUAAACUUUUCUUAAGGUUCGUAGUCCCCUGGAAACAUUUUUUAGUAUUUUUUUCGAGAGGUACAAAUUUCUUGCUUACUUUAAUAUAUUUAAGACACAAAAUUUGACAUAUAUAUUUGAUCCAUCAAUCAAAACUCCCAUCCCACACACAUUUUGUAAAGUUAGAGCCAUUAGUUUUUAUAUUCAAUUUUUACCUCUUUUUUUGCAUAUUUUAAUAAGAAUAAAUUAGAUGUUGUAAUUUCUUAUUUUAAAUAAGAGUAUGAUACCACAUUAAACGAUAAAAUAAAAAUUGUAUAUAUGUGAAAUAUAUGUCAUUAUUCAUCUUGAUAUGUAUUAUACUGUUUACCUCUUCAACAAGUUUUGUAAAAUUUUUUGUUUUGUAGUAAGUAAAGUGUGGAGAGUUACCCUCAAAGACAUGGGAUUUAAAAGAAAUAAGAAAAAGAGAAAAAUGUCAAAUAUUUCUUAUUAUAAUCACUUGAAAAAUAAGUCCAAUACACGUGGAGUUGAAAUAGGUUUACAAUCAAAGGAAGUAAAAGAAAAAAAGAUAAACUAAUCUUUCCUUGCUCCAAAAAAGAAAGAUAAUAAUGUUGAUGUGGUAAAUAAAUUAAUAAUUUUAACAUCUCCCCACAAACUCAUAAAACUCAUAAUGCGGUUGUAAGAAGUAGUGAGAGCUUAAAUAAAUUAACUUACAAUAAAAUGAAGUAAAAGAAAAAAAUUAAUUUACCCUUACUCGAUAAAUCUUUAGUAUAUUAUUAUUAUUAUUAUUAUUAUUAUUAUUAUUAUAUCUCAAAGUCAAGAUUAUGAACAUGAAAAUUAAACAUAUCGCGCUUCAAUCUUGACAAGACUAAUAUAAAGUGAGGUUUUCCCCUUCUUAUUAUUAAUAUUAUUAUUAUCACUACUACGAUAUCUUUGUUUACACUAAAAUCUUUUCUUUAAUGCCCUCAAAGUCAAGAUUACGAACAUAAAAAGCAUGUCACACUUCAAUGUUCACAAGACUAAUACAAAAUGAGGUUUCCUCCUAAAUUUAUUAUUACCAUUACAUAUCUUUGUUUACACUAAAAUCCUAUCUUUAAUACCCUAAAAGUCAACAUUAGGAACAUGAGAAACAUUUCACUAUUUAAUGUUGACAUGACUAAUACAAAGUGAGGUUUCCCUAAAUUUAUUAUUAUUAUUACAUAUCUUUGUUUUCACUAAAAUCUUAUCUUUAAUACCCUAAAAGUCAAUAUUAGGAACAUGAGAAACAUUUCACAAUUUAAUGUUGACAAGACUAAUACAAAGUGAGGUUUUCCCCUAAAUUUAUUAUUAUUAUUACAUAUCUUUGUUUCCAUUAAAAUCUUAUAUUUAAUACCCUAAAAGUCAAUAUUAGGAACAUGAAAAGUAUAUCACACUUCAAUGUUGACAAGACAUUAUACAAAGUGAAGUAUUAUUUCCAUAAUAUCUUUGCUUACACUAAAAUCUCAUCUUUAAUAUCCUUGAAGUUAAGAUUAUGAGCAUGAAAAAUAUGGCAUACUUCAAUGUUGACAAGAUUAAUACAAAGUGAGGUUUCUUCGUCAAUUUAUUAUUAUUACUACAAUAUCUUCCUACACUAAAAUCUCAUCUUUAAUAGCUCAAAGUUAAUAUUACAAGCAUGAAAGUUCAACAUGCCAUCCUCCAAUCUUAACAAGGCUAAUACAAAUUGUGAUUUCCCUAAUUUUUUUUCCAUUGUCUUUCUUUUUCUUGUACCUGUUGUGAUCGAUUUAGGUCACAAGCCAAAUAAUUGCAAGAAAAUGAACUCACACGUGAAAAUUGAGAAGGAUGAAAUAUUCUCUAACAUUGCACACUCUUAGAAGAAAAAUCAUUUGGUUGACAAUUUUAUUUGAGACUAACAAAUUGACGGAAGGACAUGAUGUGAGGCCAGCUUGUAUAUGCUUUUAUUCAAAUCUAGCCACAUGAUGAAUCCUACAAACUCCUUUCCCAUUUUUUUAUUGCAAUGUUUUAAAUGAUGCCACGUACCUAAAUUCUUGAAAUUUUGAGUCAGUUAAAGACAUGUCUGGAUGGCAUGGAGGAGAGUUAGGGGGCUAUUCGGCUUGUACCCCUUCAAAUUCAGCCUGCUCCAUUAAUUUGAUAGCUAUCGUGAGGUUGCCUAUGAUGCUAAGAUAACCAAAUGUGAUGAGGAUUUCAAAAAGUAUUCGAGUGUACUUCAGUACCAAAUCUGUGAAAUGAUUAUUGAAUGCUACCUAAUUUUGUUUGAAAUUUUCAUUUGAAAUUAAAUAAAUAAAUAUGUGAGGCCUAAAUCUUUUUCCAUCAUAUUGUACUCAUGUUCAAAGUCUGCCACUUCCAUUCAUUUGACAGCUAUAAUGAGGUUGUCUAUGAUGCUAAAAAUGACCAAACGUGAUGAUGAUUUCAAGAAGUAUUCCAGUAUAUUUUAAUUGGCAAUGUUUUAAAGAUAGGUAUCAUUCAUCCUAAAAAUUCAUCCAUUCAUGUUCAUUGCAUGGUCGAAAUGUUAUUAAACAACUAACAUUAUAAAUAUAUAAUUUAUAUUUUAUUAAAAUUAAAAAUAAUUUUUAAAAACUAAUAUGUAUAUAUAUAUAAUUAAAAACCAAUUAUAUUUAUUUUUUAAUCUUUUAUAUAAAUGUACUAAUAAUUAAAAUUUUAUUAAAUAAAAUAUGUAAAAUUUGAAAAUUGAAUAAAAUUUGCAUUAUAUAUAUAUAAAAGUUUAAAAGAUACUAGAUUAUUUUAUUCAUAUUGAAUUUCUGAAAUAAUAUACAUAUUUUUUUCUUUAGUUUCACAAACAUUAACAUUUGGAUAAGUAGCUGAGUAGUUGUUCCUGAAAAUGCUCAAGCACAUAUUAGCAAGAAUGAAGAAUUUGUUUCUAUUCUUUCAUAUUUUACAGUAGACCAAUGGCUAUAUAUAUAUAUUACAAUGUAACUAAUCUAACCAUCUAUUGAACUACCUAACCAUCUUCUAACUAAUCAUAACAACAUCUGUUAGAGAGGAGAAGAAUCAGCUGCUGGUGCGGGUGCUUGUCUAUCAUCCCCCCGCAAGCUGACAGGUCUUGGGACAAUAGAGAAAUGAGUACGAGCGGCUGAGAACUAACAGCUUGGAACAUAUUUAGUAAAGACAUCUGCCAACUGGUCGGUAGAAGGAACAUAUUGAAUUAAAAGCUCUUUGCGAAUGACCUUAUCACGGACAAAGUGAAGAUCAAUCUCUAUGUGCUUGGAACGGGCAUGGAAGACAGAGUUAGCUGCAAGAGGAGCAGCACUGAUAUUGUCACACCAGAUCAAAGGAGUGUUCGGUUGAGGAAUGCACAACUCUUUGAUCAGAAACUGAACCCAGGAGACCUCAACAGCGAGAAAAGCAAGUGCCCGGUACUCCGAUUUUGCACUACUACGAGAGACGACACGUUGCUUGGUAGAGGACCAUGAGAUGAGAUUGGUGCAAAAAAAAAAGACAAAAGCCACUAGUGCUUCUUCUAUCAUCGAGACAUGAAGCCCAAUCCGCAUCGGUAUAGCCUUGAAGAGACCAAGAUGGUGAGGCAUGGAUAGAAAGACCAUGAGUAGCAGUACCUUUGAGAUAGCGAAGUAUGUGUUUAGCAGCUUGCAGAUGAGAAGUGAUAGGAUGAGCCAUGUAUUUACAAGCUUGAUUUACUGCAAAUGAGAUUUUUGGUCUUGUGAGAGUGAUGUACUGAAGAGCACCCACAAGACUGUGAUAGUGAGUAGCAUCAAGAGCAGAUAAAGGUUCUCCAUCUGCUGCUGAUAACAAUUUUCCCAAAGCACCAAGUGUGCUAGCAGAUUUGGCCCCAAGAAGAUCAGCACGCUCAAGUAGCUGAUGUAUGUAGCGUUGUUGAUUGAGAUGAAGAACAUGAGGAAGCCGGGUGACUUCAAUGCCAAGGAAGUAGCUAAUAUCUCCAAGGUCUUGAAGAGCAAAAUGGGAGCUAAGCUGAGAAAUGAUAUGAUGGACCUGUGGUGGAUUGUUGCCAGUAAUGAGAAUAUCAUCCACAUAGAUUGAGAUGAUGAUAAUAUCAGAUGCAGAGUGGAAAUAAAAUAAAGAUGCAUCAGCCCUUGAGCAUUGGAAUCCCAAUUGUAAGAGAAAGGAGCUGAGCUUGUGGAACCAGGCUCGAGGCGCUUGUUUAAGGCCAUAGAGAGCCUUCUGUAGACGACAAACAUGAGUGGGGCAAGAGCUAUCUUCAAAGCCUAGAGGUUGCAUCAUGAACACCUGUUCUUAAAGAUCUCCAUUUAAAAAAGCAUUGUGGACAUCUAGUUGUUUAAUAGGCCAGUUGGAAGAGACAACAAUGGAGAGAACAAGCCUGAUAGUGCAAGGCUUCACAACUGGACUAAAUGUCUCAAAAAAAUCAAUGCCAUAGGUUUGAUGAAAACCUUGGGCAACCAGCUGAGCUUUGUACCUGUCAAUGCUGCCAUCAGGUUUAUGUUUGAGUUUGAAGACCCAUUUACACCCAAUAAUUUUGGCAUUAGAUGGAGGUGGCACCAAAGACCAAGUUUGAUUCUUCAAUAGAGCUUGAUAUUCUUGUUCCAUAGCAAGCUUCCAAUUAGGGUCUUGAAAAACCUGUUUGACAGUACGUGGCUCAGCUAUGAGUGAGGUAAGAUAGGUCUUCUUCUUAUAGAUACCAAAUUUGGAUCUGGUAAUCAUAGGAUGACUAGGAAUUGGAGCUAUGGAAUCCUGGAGGGAAGCAGUAGAAAUCUCAGCUGCUUCAUCCACAAAUGGCACCUGAAUGAGCGGGGGUAAAGACAAAAAGCUGGCUAGAGGUGAUGUGGGGGCAAGUUCGGAUGGGAUAGCCGGAGAAGAGCUGGUUGUGGAGGGGAAAAGAACAGAAGAUGGAGGAAAAAGAAAUGCUGGAGUGACAGGAAAAUGAGAUGAUUGGUGGGAAGGAGAAGUCAAUGCUUGAAAUGGAAAUGUAGUCUCUACAAAGACUACAUGCCUAGAGAUAUAUACUCUGCCAGUUGUAAGAUUAAGGCAAAAAUAACCCUUGUGAAAUGUUGCAUAACCAAGAAAGAUACAGGGUAUGGACUAUGGCUGAAAUUUGUUGGAGUUGAGAUGUCUGAGGUGUGGAUAACAAAGACAACCAAAGACUUUGAAAUGGAAAUAAUCAGGUGGGUGUUUGUAAAGAAGAGAAAAUGGGGAGCUGUAAUUGAGCAAAGGAGAAGGCAUGCAAUUGAUAAGGGUAAUUGUUGUAGUGAAAGCAUAGGACCAAAAUUUGGAUGGCAGGGCAGUUGUGUAAAGAAGAGUGAGCCCGAUUUCUACAACAUGGCGCAUUUUGCGUUCAACCCGACCAUUUUGUUCAGGUGUAUAAGGGCAAGAAAAUCUAUGGAGUAUACCAUGAAGAGAUAGAAACCGGAGGGUAGUGAACUUUCCACCAUGGUCUGUUUGAAGGCAUUUAAUGGUGGUCUGAAAUUGGUUUUCAACAAGAGUUUUAAAUUGAACAAAAGUGGAGUAAACCUGGUCCUUGGUGAGGAGUAAAUAUAUCCAUACAAACCUAGAGUAAUCAUCCAUGAGCAACAAAAAAUACCAGGCACCUGCGGAGGAAGGAACAGGUGUUGGUCCCCACAAGUUUGCAUGGAUGAGUUCAAGAGGAGAGGAGGCCCGGGAAGUGGACAAAGAAAAAGGAAUUUUGUGACUUUUGGCAUAACAACAAGCAUUGCAAACAUCAAUUGUUUUAUUUGAGUUAUAUGAAAUAUUACAUGUAUGAAAAAUUUUCUGAAGUAUUAUAGCAGAAGGGUGGCCAACUCGUUGAUGCCACAACAUAGUAGUGGGCUGAGUUUUUGUGAGAAACACUUGAUGUUUAGAAUUGGCAGUAGGUGAGUUGAUAGAUGAGGUAGGAAAUUUGUAGAGUCCACGUUCAAGUUGGCCUUGGAGAAGAGUCACUUUGGUAUCCUUGUCCUUGACAAAAAAUGAAAAAGGAUGAAAUUCAAGAAUGGUAUUAUUAUCAGUACAGAAUUUUGACACACUGAUGAGAUUUGAAGUGAGUUGUGGAACAUGAAGCACAUUGUGUAAAACAAAGGGUUUAGCAGAAAUGUGGAGAAAGGAAUGACCAACUUGGGUUAUGGGUAGGGACUUACCAUUGCCAACCAUCACAGAGUCAGUACCAUUGUAUGAAGUACCAUUGUGGAUAUUAGCAACUGUGUGGGAGAGAUGGUGGGUGGCGCUUGAAUCCAAAAACCAGGAGUCCGUUGAUGCUGGGGAAGGUGCUGCCAUCAUGGCUUGAGCAGGAGGAGUGGGACCAGUUUGAGAGGUUGAUGAGGCUGGUGCAUGUGGCCCUUGAUAAUUCACAUCAAAUCUGUGAUAACAAGAGAGGACCAUGUGCCCAAACUUGCCACAUAACUGACACUGUGGUUGGUUAUUUGUCCGGGAUCGAUUAUUGUUGAAUCGGUUAGGGCGAUAUCCUUGAGGAUGUUGCUGUCGUGAAUUUGGAAGAGUGUCAGGUCGUGGGGUUGGCAUGAAUGACUGAGGUGGUUUCCCUUGAGAGGGUUUGAUGGACUGUGACCUUCGUGGUCUGUUAUGAGUUGCAAUAUUGGCAAUGAGGAGGUCUUCUUCAGCAGUUGUGGUUUGAAGAUGCAGCCUCUAUUCAUGAGUCAGAAGGAUGCUAUGUACCGCAUGAAGUUGAAGGUCAUCAUCUCUAGCUGUGAGAGAAGCCAUGAUGGGGUUGUAUUCAACCCCUAGUCCACUUAGUAAUUGAAGAAUUUGAUCCUUUUCUGGCACUGGUUCUCCAAUAGCUGCUAGACUAUCAGAGAUGUGUUUGAGUUUUUGGAUGUAUUCCAUCAUGGUAAGAGGGCCUUUUUUGGUUGUUUGAAAAGCAAGUCUCAGCUGCAUUGUUCUUGCUUUGGUGGAAGCAGAGAAGCUUCAUUGGAGGGUUGUCCAUGCUUCAUGGGAUGUUCGUAGCCCAACAAUUUGGCCCAUAACAUCUGGAGUGAGAGAGGAGUAGAUCCAACUCAGGAUCAUACGAUCAUAUCUCCUCCAAACCAGAAAAUCUGGGUUCACUUCUCCGGUGGAUAUUAUUUUUGGAGGACAUGGUCUCAGACCUUCAAUAUAGUCCUCAAAUCCAUUGGCAUAUAUCACAUUUUCCAUUUGUGUAUGCCAAAGGAUAUAGUUAUCUCUAUCUAGUUUGAUAGGAAGAGGAUGGUUCAGCAUGCUCAUGUUCAGGGUAGAGGUUACCUGAGAAGAGACAAUCUCCGGCGUGGUUUGUGUUGAUGAAGCCAUCGGAAACUAGGUACAGUAUGUUCUUGAAGCUUUCUUGAGGUGAGUAAGAAAAGCAAAAGGUAAUCUGCAGAUGAUGUAUAUCAGAAGAAAGUUGCAGUAGAAAGAGUUGUUGGAGAUUUCUUUAUUGUCUUGCUGGGGAGAGAAAUCAAAAAACGAAAAUUCAUGAGCCUAUGGCUCUGAUACCAUGAAAAUGCUCAAGCACAGAUUAGCAAGAAUGAAGAAUCUGUUUCUAUUCUUUCUUAUUUUACAGUAGACCAAUGGCUAUAUAUAAAUAUUACAGUGUAACUAAUCUAACCAUCUAAUCAUCUAUUGAACCACCUAACCAUCUUCUAACUAAUCAUAACAGCAUCUGUUAGAGAGGAGAAGAAUCAGUUGCUGGUGCGGGUGCUUGUCUAUCAGUUCCAAGUUACCUUAAACCUUGAAAGGAUCAAGUCCUUUUGAUUUUGUUUAAAUAAGCUACUAAGCUACUGCUCACUCCACAUUGGAAAUUCAAGGGGAUGAAAAAAGGUUUAUAAAUCUCAUUCAUCUCCAACAGGUCACAUGGCCUUUAGGCCGUGGGAGGCAAUGCGGUGAGUGGGUCGUGUGCUCUAAAUGGAGGCCUAUUUUUGCAACAAAAGAAAGACCGAAACCAAACCAAGCAUGAACCAAAUCGGAUCAAGAUCCAGUCGACGGUCUGACUAGUUCAGUAGGAAUUUUUCAUAAUAUGGUUUAAUGGCAUGUAGAUAUUCUUUAGUCAAAGUUUUAAUAAGCCCAUCAAAAGUUGUAAUAUUUUAUGUUAUAAGUUAAUAGAGAAUAUUUUUUACUUUAAAUUUUUGUUGGUAUUUUCCCAUAAUCUAUAGUUAUUAAGGCAUUGAUAUUUUCUCAAAUUAUAGAAUUAAGUUCUAAAACAACAUUUAUUUUGACAUAGAUGAACAUUUGAAAGAUUAUAAUUUAUCUUUAACUUAUUUUUCUUUAUAACCAAAAUCUUUUCUCUCGAUUUUUCAUAAUAUUUGAUUAUGAUUAAUUAUUCAUGCAUACAAUCUAGGUCUGAAUCUAUUAUCUUCAACACUUAUUUUUAUUUUUUUAUGUCAUGUUUGAAAAUUUACUUUAGAUAGUAAGUCAAUAAAUGUUUCUAAAGGUAAAUGAGUGUUUGGUAUUAUGAUUCUUAGAUCUUGACUAGUAAGGGAUUCUUUAUAAUUUGUUCAUUUUAUUACUUGAGCUAAUUUAAUUCUCUAUUUAUUAAUUUCUUAUAUUUCAUCAUGUAAAUUUUGAAUAGUUAUAAGUUUGUGAAUAGUUUUGAAUCUAUUAAAUAUUUCAUCUAUAAUAUUGAUUAGAUUUGGGUUCUUGAAGUCUACUUAUCUCUUUAAUUUGUAAGAAUUAAAUCUUUUAAAUAUAACAAAUAUUGAAUUUUUAUGUUGAAUCCUCUAUUUUAUGACAUCAAAAAAUAUUUAUUUAUUUACUUUUGAAUAAAUCAUAUUUAUUAUUUUAUAUGAACAAACAUACUCACUUUCACAUUCAUUUUCAUCAUUAGAGUCUUCUAGACUAAUUAUAUUGGUUUAAUGUGUCUAGUAUUUGUGAUAAAUUUCAUAAAAAUAUUCAAGUGUAAAUAUUAAACUACAUAGUAUACUGUCACAUAUGACACAUUUCAAAUAGUAAAGACUAAAACCAUAAUUAAAGAUAACUUAGGUUUUAUUUUUUUUGUCAAAAAUAUUAUAAUUUUAAUUAAUUGAAUUAUUAAUUUUUCAAAAAUUUAGAAAAAAUAAAAAAUAGUAUUUUAAAAUUUGGCUCUCUUGAAAAUCAUGAGAGGAUAAAAAUUGGUAAAAAAAUAAAUAAAUUUAGAAAAGGUUAUUGAGAUUAAUUAAGUACAUCCUUGCCAUGAUAUUUAAUAUUUUUUUUAUGUUUUAUAAAUAGGGUAAAUGGACAUCGUUCUAAAUACAGGAAGAUGAUAUUAUUAUAUAUAAAAAAAAUGUAAAAAUAGUGAGUAAUAUUAUUAAAAAUAUCUCAUGGAAUGGGGCAAGAUAAAGGGCCAAAAAAAAAAAAAUUAGAGAAGAAAGAAGAAAAAGAAGAGUGUUGUAAGCACAGGAAGUCAAAAGUACUGUAUAAGCGUGAUUCAUCCCUGUUUCCUACUUCGAUUAUAAAGUAUGGACAGAGAUACAGAAAAAAAAAAAGAGAAGAAGCAGCAUUCAGCUUUCACCAGUGCAGAGUGGUAUGGUGGUGUAGCAUAUGUUUGGUUGUUAUUCUUGCUCCAAACAAGUGUGAGCUGAUCCAUUUCUAUACUCAUUUUUGUUAUCUCAGUCGACUGAUUCGUUUAGUGGGCCUGGUGUUAGCCAAAAGCUAGCCACCAAUUUUCUUUGCUUUAUCCCAUUACAUUAGAAUAAAAAGAAAAUGGAGGUUUGAGAGGGCCAUUGGGACCAUUGGGACCAUUAUCAGUUGUCUUUUGUUUUCAAGUUGUAAGAAGUCCUGUCAAGGUUUAUGUCAUUUGCUAUGUUGUUUCUGUUCCAUUUUCAGUUCAAAGAGUGGUAGAGUAGAGAAGGAGGCAUGGCUCAGACAUUUGGGUGCAGCUCUGGAGAUAGUAGAUGGUCUCUCAAGGGAAUGACUGCUCUUGUAACUGGUGGAACUAAAGGAAUUGGGUUGGUGUUACCUGUUUUUAUGUCUUUGGGUUUGGACUAUACCUUCCUAUAUAUAAACGUAUGUAUCAAUUCUGCAGGCAUGCAAUUGUGGAGGAACUGGCUGGAUUAGGAGCAACCAUACACACGUGUUCUCGAAAAGAAACUGAGCUCAAUGAAUGCUUGAAGGAUUGGAAAGCUAAAGGUUUUGGAGUGAGUGGUUCAGUGUGUGAUGUAUCCUCUCGGGCACAAAGGGAGAAGCUAAUGGAGACUGUCUCUUCUGUGUUCAAAGGGAAGCUGAAUAUCCUUGUAAGUUCCUCUAGUCUCUAAGGUUCCUAUCCAUGAUAUUCCACAUACUUUGUCGAACUUCCUACAAUUUGAGUUCCCCUACUUGAUAUAUAUAUUUUGGUUCCGGAUUCAGGUCAACAACGCUGCUAUUGUUAUUCAGAAACCAACAGUAGAGGUCACGGCAGAAGAGUUCUCAACAAUCAUGGCCAUAAAUUUUGAAUCUGUGUAUCAUCUGUCCCAACUCGCACACCCCCUUUUAAAGGCAUCAGGAGCGGGAAGCAUUGUAUUCAUCUCCUCUGUUGCCGGCGUAGUGUCAGUCAAGUAUCUGUCUGCUUAUGCAGUAACCAAAGGUAUUUCAUUACAUGAUCCACAGUAUAUAUAUAUAUCGCAAGUUCUUGGGUUGUGGCCCUUGUGGCCUUCUCGGCGUGUCAUUAUCAUUAUCAUUUUGUGAUUUUUCAGGAGCAAUGAAUCAACUUACAAAGAAUUUGGCAUGCGAGUGGGCGGAAGACAAUAUUAGAAGUAAUGCAGUUGCUCCUUGGUGCAUCAAAACUCCGAUGGUGGAUCAGGUAAUUCAGUUGCUCUUCUUUUUUGUCUGGGAAAAUUCAAUAAUCAAUUCCUCUCUCUUUUCUGUCUUUUGCAUAAUCUGGGUUGCAGAUGCUCAGUAACAAAACCUUUCUGGAAGGGGUGAUAAAUCGAGCUCCACUUCGCCGUGUGGGAGAUCCGAAGGAGGUGUCAUCUUUGGUGGCAUUCCUCUGUCUACCAGCAUCAUCUUACAUUACUGGACAGACUAUUUGUGUUGAUGGUGGCGUGACUGUUAAUGGUUUUGAGCCAAACCUGUUCUAGGAACAUCAUUAAGACUCUAAAAAAUCUUAGCUUCUUCUACCGCUUUCCUGUUUGGAUCCUGUCUUUUUCCUGAAUAAUAUGUUUGUGGUGGUAAGUACUCUUCUGUUUUUUCGGUGUGGGGUUCAUUUGAAAACAUUGUUGCAUGAUGCUUAUAAUAAUCGUUGGAAAGUUGGAAGAAGUUACUUAUCAUUGGAUGAGAUUCUUGUGAUGGGUGUUUCCUAUAAUCAGAUUUAUCUUGUUAUAAGGUUGUUGUUGUUGUAGUAAUAGGAUUGAAAGAGAAAUGCAAAUAAUCGUAAAAGGAUGAUGAAAAUUCAUCAUUUUUACUUAUUCAAAUAUUACACCAUCUCUAAUUUACAAUGAAUUUCAAUGAGUGCAAGUGAAACCAACCUUAAAAUAAUUUUGUUUGAUAAAUUUAGAUGAAAUUCAACCAGUGUGAAUCUUUAAAUUUUUUUUUUCAUUUCCAUUAAAGAUUAUUGUAAAUGAAAAAAAAUUAAAGUCAAAAAUACAUGUAGCAAUGAGACGAAGGAAAGCGGGUUCUAUCAUCUAUCACACAUCAUGGAAAAAGCUGUGGUACCAUGGCUUUUCCAGGACUUUUCCUUGCAUAAUGUUACCGUAUGCUAAUGUUUUGUCACUCAAAGAUAUUUUAAUAUAAAGUAGCGCGGAUAUACUAUAAACAUUCAGUUACGCCAUGUAACACGUUAGCCAAUAAGGUUACAAAUUUUAAUUUUAUAUUAAUAAUAUGAUUGGGUAUGCUCUAUAUUUUAAAAUAUAAUUGAAUCACAUAUAUCUAGAACUAGAAAUCCUUUUGAGGGACCAAUAACAUAAACCAUUAAAAUUUUAUAAUUUGAUAUUAUAAAUUCCUAUUAAAUUUUAAAAUAUAUUAAAUUUAUUUGAUAUAAAUAUAUAUAAAAAUAAAGAAAAAAUUUAUAUUUUCAUAUGAUAAAUUAUACAAAAGAAAAGCAAAUAUUUUUUUUUUAUCAAAAUUGUUUUCAACAAUAUUUCAAAUAUAUAUAUAAAUUUGGGAAACUUGUAUUUUGGAGCUGCUAUUUAGAAAUUAUAUGGUUUUCGGAACCCAAAAAUGGGAAAUAUGAGAAUCAAUUUUUAAUAUGAAAGGUAUUAUCGUUUUUGUGCACUCUGAGUCGGCUCCAUCUUUUGUGCCCAAAUUGUCCCUCCAUGUUUCCAACACAUUAUCUUAGCAUCAUUCCAACCUCCAUGUCAGUACGACCAUUGAAAUUUAGAAAAAAAAACACUAAAAUCUAAAUUUGUAACUUCUCAAAAAAAAAAAAAAAAAAACAAAACAAAACCUAAUAUGCAAGUUUUCAAUUUGCUCAUUUGGAAGUUUUCUCUCAUCUUUCUUCAGUCCCAACAAUCCAAAAUUUCUCUCAUUUUAGUUCAAAAACUCAAAUCCAAAACUCCAAAUGUGAUACAUUGUGGAAUUGUUUUCAUAGUCCUUAACAAGAUACAUGCAGCAUGUAUUGAACUUUAACCUAAUUCCUUCUACCAAUUUUUCUGGCCCCAAGUUACUGGGGACUAUGGUUCCGAUUGGGUGGUUUUUGAGUAGUCAAAAACCAUUUUUAAAGCUUAGUAAAAAAAUUUAUGCCGCUCAUUUUAUUUAAACAAUUUAUAACUUAAAAAAUAAGAAAAAAAAAUGUUUUUUAAAGCUUUAUUUUGACUAAUUCAAAAAGCUUUUUUUUUUUUUUUUUUAUGUUUGAUACAUUUUUUAUAAUAUCAAUAUUAUUUUUUAAAAAUGGUGACUUUUAGCUUUUAAUUAAAACUAAGAACAAGAAGUUAUUCUAAAUAUGACUUAUGUAUUCAUUCAGUGAAAGUAAUUUUUUCAUUUAAAAAAAGUAAUUUCUUGGUGAUAAAAAGAAAUAUUUUUUUAGUAGCUUUUUGAUGCUAUAAAAAAAGUGUUGGCUAAGUUUGUAUGAUAAAAUUGGUGUUAUUUAUAUACCUGCACUUUCGCUAGGGUCUUAUUUAUUGGGAAACUUGUGUUUAAUAUGCUCAAUUCUAUUUCUUUGUAUGGCUAUGCAAUUGUUUGGAUUUGGCAACACUAAUCAAUAAAUGUACUUUAUAUUUGAAACAUUGGAAUAAAAAAAGAGAAUAAGAGUUAAUUUUAUUUUCAAUUUAUUAAUAUAUUUUAAUUAUUUUUUACAAUGAUGAUAGAAUUAAAAAGAAAAUCACUUAGUAACUCUUAGGUACUACCUUAAUAUACCUUAGUAACCUUAAUCUAUCUUAGGUAUUAUCUUAGUUACACUUGGGUACUACCUAUGUGAAGUCUCAAAACUUCAUUUGUGGACAUUACUUACUUCAUGUGUGAACAUUAGAGCAUGACAUUAUGCGCACCUUUAAUAAGUGUUACUAAGGUAGUACCUAAGGUACAGUCAACACUAUAUCAAAGGUGCACUUAAUGUCAUGCUCUAAUGUUCACAAAUGAAGUUUUGAGGCUUCACAUAGGUAGUACCCAAGUCUAAUUAAGAUAGUACUUAAGGUCGGUUAAGGUAGAUUAAGGUAAUACCUAAGAGUUACUAAGGUAAUACCUAAGGUACAAUCACCACUAUAUCAAAGGGGCACAUAAUGUCAUGCUCUAAUGUUCACAAAUAAAGUAAGUAAUGUCCAUAAAUAAAAUUUCGAGGCUUCACACAGGUAGUACCCAAGUUUAAUUAAGAUAGUACCUACAAUCAGUUAAAAUAGUACUUAAGAUAAAUUAAUGUAGUACCUAAAAGUUACUAAGGUAUAGUAAAUACUAAAGAACAA
rnacentral:lncRNA from 1 species